UGAGCGCGCGCGCGCGCGUGUGUUCACGGAGAAAGAAAGAGAGGGAGACGGUGGCGAAGCCCGGCGCCAGCAGCUAGUUGGCGGGUCGGAGCGAGGCAGCAUGCGGGUGGCGGCGCCCCGGGCGCGUGUGGUGAGUAGUUUCUUCGGCGUCUCACGGUCUUGCCGGUCACCCGCCGCCUGUUGAGUAGCGCGAGGGAAGGCUUGCCUUUGCUGAAACAAAAAUACCUUACCGCUCCCCCCGUUGCCCACCGAGCCCUAAAGCUUCCUUCGAGGUGAGUUGCUCUGAAUGCGCCGCCGCUUUCGCCGGGAUCAACCUCGAUCCCUGGGGCAGAAGCGCCUUCUUUCCCCUUGUUGUCCUGGGAUUCUUCCUCCGCUCCCACAGCGGCAACUUGCCCUCCUCGGGGAGAAGAAACCUUUUGGACCUGAUCCACUCUCGGUUAAUGGAGUUGUGCGUGCAAGAGGGGGGAGGGGUUGUUGCCCAGUCCGCCCGUCUCUUACCUGCCGACGCCAUUCUCACUUGAUUCCUUUUCUUUUUUUAAAAUACAAAAAAUCCGGAUUUCAGCUGAGGGUUCUUUCUCCUCCCCACCCCCCACCACCUGCACGGAUUCUUGGCUGCUGUUUCCACGCUGGCCUCCAUGUGUGCGUGUGUGCGUUUAGUUCAUAUUAUUUAUUACACGGAGACUUGCAUUGUACCUGUUUUGGAACUGUUGCAUGAUACGGCAUGUGUAUGUUCUCCUCUCCGCCCUUCCUCGAUUUGCAUACUUUGUUCAUAGCAGGCACAAAAUGCAGAACUUUUUGUUUUAAUCAAAUGGUGGUGUUGGUUGUAGACACUAAUUUAAAAUAAAGAAAUUCAAAGACCCUUCUUCCUGAUCGUGUGCUGAAAGAGUUGUUUUUUAGAUUAAAAAGAAACCCUAAUAUGUGAAAAGAAUAAGAAUGAAAGCAUCAAAUGUCCAAAUACUCUUGCAGCCUGGAAACAUGAGGUUUGUUUUCCAUGUUAAUGAACGUGGCCUGGUGACCUUUCCCACUGGAAGACGUAAUAUACUGUGGUAGCGCCUGUAAGAAAAUCAGUCUCGGUGUAUAUUUCCCCCCCAAUGGCGUUUUGAAAAGGUGAAGAAUAGACAUGAUCAGUCUGCCUGACUUCACCUGCGGUGCCUAGAACCUAAGACUUGCACGGUCAGGAAUGUUGCCUUGCCUCGCCUGCUUCUCCACCCUGAAAGAAAUGUUUAGAAAUACAAUCUUUUGGAUUUGUCCCAGGUCUACCAUACAGUCUGGAAAAGCGAAGCAGUGACACCACUCCAGUAAGAGCCUCGAAACCAGAUGCUUUCAGAAUGCCUGCUUCAUCCUUUCAAAUGGCAACCAAGAGUGUCGGGUUUUUUAUUUCUUCGCUUUGUUCUUUUUGACUGCAGAUUGAUGGAAAGAAAUGAGAGAGAAACAAUGAGUUUCCUAGCUUUGGUCAGACUGGUUUGUGGUUUUGUUUUGUUUUAAACUCAGACAGCUUUAGAAAGGUGCCUUUUUGCUUCAAAGUCUAUGCUUUGUGCUCUGAGCUAAACAUGGGGUAAUUAGAAAACUACCUGAAUCACAUUUUUUCUCUGACAGUUGCUUAUUAGCAUUUAUCAUUUUGUUUGCUUCAAAGGUAGAAGUGGAUAAAAAAUAUGGAGUGUUUUCUGUGUACUUAACAUUAGCUUUUUUUCUGUGAUGCUGGUUUCUUUUUCUUGGAAUAAUGUUUGCGGGGGGAAAUGAGGCAAUUAAUUUUUUAAAAAAUAAAAUAUAAAUAUGCAGCAUGUUAAAUAGUAGUUGGCAGGGAGUGUUAAAAGCUGAGCAAAGUUCCUCUACAUGUCGGUGGCUUAGGUGCUGUUGUAUUUCUCAGAGCCUUGAAUGAAGACAGUGGUAGGUUUCCCUUCAGAGUUAGGUGAGAGAAUAUACCCUGCUACUAUAAAUUCCUUUUUUAUUUCUCUUUUGCCACAUUCAAUCUCUGAGGUCUUCUAAUAUGCUUGUGCUCAAAAUGUAAACUUUUGCCCCCUGUUGGACUGGCAGGAGUACUUUAGAAGAGAAGAAAAGGGCCCUUUUAAAAUGCAAAUGGUGUAGGCACUUUGUCAGCCAGCUCCCACUCAACCUGUUGGUUUCUUUUUAACUGAAGCAAUGACUGGCAGACUGUAUGAAAUCCCAAGACUGCUUCUGAAUAUCAGGAAUGAGAGUAACAUUUUCAGUUUUACACUUGCCAGUUGUUAAACACCUCAUGCUGUUGGCUUUACAUGGCUGUGCACAAUCCUGAACUAUGAAUAAAUUUGAGUUCAGUAUUGUGCAGAGUAAUGUAGCUGUGUGAAAUAUAUUAACAGAAUGAAGGGAAAUGAAUGCAUGAAACCCUUGGUUAUUUCCUUUAUCAAUUGUUUCAGUUAAGCUGUUUCAGCUCUUGAAAGUGCAAACUAAGUAUUCACCAUAAAGAUUAAAACCAUAAAAAUUUCCACUCUUAAGAAACAUGCAUGCAUGUAGAUAACUUGUAUGCACAAAGGGUGAUGGUCUGUGGCAAUUACUUCUAAGAGUGCUUAGGAUCAUACUUAUUUAGCUAUCUGUCAUACAUGUUAUCAACUAGUUGUGCUGUCAAAAUGGCCACUUGUCAAGUAGAUAACUGAAUUAUACAGAGUGAUUUGUUGAAGACAUAGCUAUGGGUUAAGAAAUUAGCUAUCUUAAUGUUCCAAGUGUUUUGCAAUCUUUGAAUAUUGUUAAUUCAGCCUUGUAGUUAGGAGGUGAACAAUCCCAAUUCACAGCCUCCAUAAUGUAGCCCCAAGUUAACUGGUUACAUUAUGGAGGCUUUGCCCAUGUCUGUCUUUGUCUCCUCAAAAUUGUAGGAGGCUCCUGAUUUUAUUUGGGCAGUUUUUGCUCACCACAAGUGAACAGGAAAGUGUUGAAUUACAAGCAUAAAUUAACUUUGCCAUGAAAAUAAUGAACAAAUAGAGCACAAUCCACCAGGAAUGCUGUCUCAUUCAAAGGAGUAAGAAUGCAGGAACAUAGAUGUUCUUGAGUGCAACUUCAGUUAAUUUAUGUGAGACUUGUGCAGGGACAGUGCCUGGUUGAUAGUUUUAUAUUUGCUUCUGUUAAUAACCAUAUAUGCUCAUCUUUAAAAAGAAAAUGCUACAUGACAGUUUUAGAUUGCCAAUGCUGUAGGCUGCUUCUCCUUGUCGCUAGAGGCCCUGGGGUGACAAUAUCUUCAUUUAAAAAACUACUUGAUGUGCAUAGCACUUAUUAUCUUGAUGCUUGAUUCACAGUGGCCAGUUUUAUGUUGCUGUCAGUGUACUUUAAUCCUUGGUUUAUUACUUUGCCAUGAUGCCAUUGUUUUAGCUGUGGUUCUGAGAUAGUACUUACAUUCAAGAGUGUGAUCAACUAACUUAACUUUAUCAAUAAGAAAUCAAUGUAGCCUGUCAUCACAACAGCCAACCUUGUGAACUAAGCCAGUUAUAAAUCAGUGUUAGUUUAUUUGUGUUUCCAGUAGGUUGCUUUUAACUCACUAACUUUGAGGGUGACCUGCUUUGGCAUUCCUCCCAUUUAUGGAAAAGGCAUUCAUAGCAAAGAGUUAAACAGCUUAUGGACAAAGAGCUAAUGCAUCCCUUAGCGCAGAAGAUUUUUAUAAUUCAGCUUGGUUAUAAAUAUCGCCAUAUGCCUUUGUUUGCUUUUUUAUGUACUGCUUACCCAUGAUAGUGUGUUGGCUUUUGGCAGAAACAGUAAAAGAAGUCAUAGCCAGCCUUCCUCUGUUCUGCUGAAAGUGUCAGAAUAUUUAGCAAAUAAAGUAUGAACAAUUCUGUAUUGAUGCCUUUUGGUUCACAUGGGCUAUAAAUAAUGUUUGGAUUGUUUUCAUUCUGGUUUAUUAUGUGGUGGUGCUCCUAAGAAAGUCUCACCAACAUCUGUGUCUUUUGCCAGCAGCAGUUGUUGGAGAAUGCGUCUCCAAGGAAGGAAAAAUAUAAGUGUAACAGAAGAAAAGUCAGUUUUUGUGGGCUUUGAGAAGAAUUGCUUAUAGAAGAUGAGUUUCAGCUGAGUUUUUGACCUUCUGUAAAUCUACUUGUAAUAUAGGUUCAUACAUUUUCUUUGGAGUCUAUAUACUUAAAUCUGCAAAUGACAUUGUUGGAGCCUGCUAAUAGCAUACUGCCAAAGAAGCACAGUUUUUAGAAUGUUGUCCCAUUAUACAUCUCAAUUUCAGUAUUUCUUUUGCCAGGAAAUGUUUCUAAAAGAUGCAGAGCAACUUCUGUAAGGAACAUAUUGUUGCUGAUCGUAUUGACCUUCAUUAGGCCCUAAAUCUGGGGCCUUUCUUUUCCCUGCCCCUGCAGUUAUGUUACUGUAGACUUUAACUGAUAUCAACCUAAUCAGGAGUUUCCCCCAAAAGAAAUGGAUUCCUUGGAUGUUACUUAAAGAUACUUGAAUAAGACGAGAGCUUACGUAAACUGUUUCAGCAGAGUGCGAUUAACAUGUUUGUGGCAGCAUAGUGUGUAAUCGACACUUUCAUAUACCGUGGCUUGCGUGAUAAUGAAAAGGUUGAGAUGUGUAUUUUAUAUGGUAAUAGGAUUGUAAACUUACAAACCCAUCAAGUAUUUGUUGGAUCAGCUAAAUACCACUAGACAGCAGUUUUCUGGACUUGUUAGUAUAUUAUGAAGGGCAAACCUUUCUGCAUUCCAAUUUUACAAUGGUUUCUAAAGUGCUUUUCAGAAGAGGCUAAGAGUUAAACUACUUAGUUCCCAUUAUGGAACACAAAUAUUAUAAUAAUGGUAAAAUGCUAUAUCUAAGAUGUUAGGGGGAAAUGCUGAUGUGUAAUGCUAAUCCAGCACGGAAAUAUUAAGUGUCCCUUGUACAAUGCAGGAUAAGAGGAUCACAUAGUUUUUGAAUCAUAGAAUUGUAGAGUUGGAAGGGGCCCUGGGGGUCAUCUAGUUGAACCCCCUGCAAUGCAGGAAUCUCAGCUAAAGUAUCCAUGACUGAUGGAAUAGUUUGACAGUUAUACUUGAAGUGGUAUGCAUCUAAAGAGUGCACUGCAUGAUUUGUGCAAUAAAAUGGUGUAAUGCUUAAUUUUUUUUAUAGGUACCCAGAAAUAGAGGUCUGAAGGCAUAAAUUCAGUAGUGUGGGGGCUUCUGCUGCAAUCCUGAUAAUUCGCUUUUUUUUCUAGCUCUUUGUCUUAUAGAUAACAUGGGAGGAUAUUUUAAAAUGCUCAGAAGAGAUACAUCAUAUUGGACAACUACUGCUUGUUAAGAACCUGGUUUAUUUCUGCUUGCUGCUUUACUGUUAGUUAAAUAUUAAUUUAACUUGGAUUUGUUCAGUGGAUACCACAGUGGUUAUCUCUACCUCGCCUUGAAAAACCUUGGGGCAGACUGCUUUAAACAAUUCACAUUUCUUAAUCAUGUUUUCAAAAAUGUUGUCUUUUAAUUACUGUUUAUGCUCUGCUUUCUUAGUCAGCAGUUUUCACUUCUACUAAAACAUUUCUUUCAUCAUUAUUAAAAAUAUUGGCCAAGAAGUCAUGGUUAUUGCUACCUAGAAUAUUGUUCAGACUUUUUGCAUGUGCAAAGCAGUCUCAAGUUACAUUAUCUGAAUCAAUGACUACGUGCCAACAGGGGAAUGGGGAAAUAAUUGCAGUUUACAGAAAAGUGAUGGCUGUUGCAUUGAAUUUCAGAUGUAGGUUUGCAGGUUUAUUAAUGUGUCUUACAAGUGGGAGUUGCAGUAAAAUGUGGAAUGCUCCUAUUCAGUGUCCUAUUCAGCCAUUCCUUCUGCUACUAUAUCCCAUUCCCUCUCACCCUUUGUUUUUCUACCCAACCCUCAAAGCCAACACUUCAUGACCACUCAGUCUUCUGGCUUCAUGGCGUGCUCAGUCCCCCUUGGGCUGUCUUGCGGAGCAGUUACUCCUUUAGUUUUUCCUCAUGAAUUUUGUUUUACUUCUUCACACCUUGUUGUUUUCCCAAGCCUACUCAUACCUCCUGCUUGUAUGUCUGUGAUCCUGUUCUAGCUGUAUAAGGCUAGCUACUUGGAUAUGUUUGGCAUUACAGUCAUACUUCGGGUUGAAGUAGCUUCGGGAUGAGUAUUUUCGAGUUGUGCUUCGCGGCGACCCGGAAGUAACGGAGCGCGUUACUUCCAGGUUUCACUGCUCGCGCAUACGCUCAAAAUGACGUCGCGAGCAUGCACGGAAGCGGCAAAUUGUGACCCGUGCGGACGUGGGUAGCGUUCACUUCAGGAUGCGAUCCCGUUCACAUCCAGAGGUACCACUGUAUAUAGUAUGUAAAAGAGGGACUUGCAACAGAAUGUUGCAGUGUGGCAUGCUCCUGUUCAGACUGCUCCAUUCCAUUUCCCUUCCUGCUUGGCUUUCUGUAUCUACUCCCAACUAUUAGUGAGCAUUCUGUGACCACUUGGCAUGCUCAGCCUUUAUUGAGUUGCUUUUAGUUAAGUUUGUUUUUGAAUUCCUGCAACCUCUGAGAUUUUGCAGAGCUGCCUUAUAUGCUGUUAUGCAUGGAUGGUUCCAUUUUGGUUACAUUAGCAUUGAUAUCUCCAGAUUAAAUAUCAGAAUUAGAGGGAUGAUGAUGAUGAUGAUUUGUUAACACUUUCAUUAACUUGUAUUAAACUUGACUUGAUCAAGUUGGGCCCAGGAAAGACCUUUCAGCACAGUAGGAUGGGUUGAAAUGGCAUGUAGUUGUGCAUGUAUGUUGAAAUGGCACAACAUGUAUGUUCAUUGCCUAUUGAUACCAUUGAGAGCCCAGAUGACAUUUUAUUAGGCAUUCAUUUUUUUUAACCCUUUUUCCAAGGAGCAUAGAGCAGUAUACAUGGCUCUUCUGAUUUUAACUCCUCAGAAUGAUCCUGUGAGAUCGGUUAGGUAGAGAGAUUAUGAUUGGCCCAGUGAAUUCUGUGGUUGAGUAAGAGUUUGAAUCCAAAUAUACUUAGUGAAAGUUGAAACCAGUACAGCACACAGAUUUUGAAAAUGAAAUAUAUCUGCAUUUGGCAGGAAUUUACCUAGGUCUCCUGUAUGGCCAGUGUGAAUUUUCUGUUAUUGAACCAUCUUUUCUUUUGAUUAACAUGUCUAUGUAGUAGAUAUAUUUCUGGUUGGAAUUGUUUUAUUUCCUUGGAGUAUUUUUUUCUCUUUGCUCUUUACUUUCACUUAUUAUACAUUUUGUUUUUAUUUCACAUUUUUAUGCUGUGAACCGCAAAACUGGGAGGAGCAACAGAUGUGGCUUACCUUUAGACAGUAGGCUACAUUCCAGCAAGAUGUUUCUAUGUGCCUUUCUUUAUCCAGGCAGGGAAGAGGCAUUAUUUCAGUUCAAGGACACUUCCAGGCAAGAAAAAGCACGUAAGGAGGACUUGGAGCAGGACUUGGGAGGUAUGGGGUCUGCGAAGAAGGAGCGAGAUCUGGGGAUAAUGCUGAGGGUUGAAUAGAGAGACCUGGAGUGUUGCAUUUGGCCCCUGUACCUGAGAUUCCCCACCUCUGCUCUAAAGCAAAGUGCUUUCACAUACAUGAUAAAUUAUUAUUAUUAUUAUUAUUUUAAAAGUAAGUUUCAGAGCCAAAGAGGUUGGGCAUAGGAGAGGGAGGAAGUUCAGGAAAAAAGAUAGCUGUAGUUAAUGCUUGUCAAAUAAAAAAUGGAGUAUUGGUUUCAGCAUAACCUUGUAGGAGAUUGGUGGCGAGUGGUUAUUCUGUGGUGACUUGCGUGUCCUGACCUGUUACAUGGAUUUUUUAAAAAAGUCUCUUUGUUUAGUGUAGGCAUUUACAGAGUUCAUAUGCAUGAUCAAAUAACUUGUGGUGUUCAGUUACACAGGUGUUAUUUGGUCAUAAUUACAACUGCUCAGCUGGAUUCAACUAUUUCUGCAUCAGUGCACCCACAUCUUCAUUCAGAGGUCCAUAAAUUUUGUGUUGGCUCACUAGCCAGUCAUUCUCAAGUGGAAUGAAACGAUACCUCUCUCCUACCCCAAGGAAGGGAUCUUGCUUCACUGCAUGUGCUGCUUCAAAGAACACAGAAAGAGACAGCACUUGUUUGUUCAAGAUUUGGGUCCAUUUUAUUUUCUCUUGGUGGCAAUCCUCUGGUUUUUCACUUGAAACAGACUGGUUGUUGUUGGAGCCUUAGGCGAGCCUUUCAGCUGCAGCCAAGCUCUGUGGUAGUAUCUGUACUGCCUGCAGCUGCACCAUGAGGUGUCCACGGCAGCAGCAUCUCAAGAUGGCCUUUAGCACCUGCCUCUUAAGGAAGUCUUCACUGUCACUUUUGUCUCUAGCCAUAUGGCAGGAAAGAAGGAACAACAACAGAAACUCCUGUCAACACCAGCAGUGUACGUAUAUCUGAAAAGGGGGCCUAUGAGGAGGAGAAUGUCCGCCCUCAGGACCCAUCUGAGGCAGCAUUGCAAGGGAAGCCAGAGAGAAGUGGUAAGGAGAGAUAGUGAAAUAAGUAGGCAGGGAAAGUUGAAGGAGGAACUUUGGGUCUGAGGGGAGGGAUGAAUGUGUCAUGGUGGAGAAAGAACAAGGCAAGUAAACAACUUAGAAGAACCCUACCCUAAGCUACAAGGAAGGUGAGCAACUUCACUAACACUAGCAGCACCCCAUCCCCUUCUCUCUCUUGCCUUCUUCCCAUUUCCCCAACAUUUCCACAAACAUUUGGGAAGGUGGUGGCAGAGCUCUGAGAGGCAAUUUGUACAGUUUAACUUCUCUGAAGCCCAAGGUAAAAGAAGACCCUACCCAAACUUCAUAUAAUCUGUUCAUGCCACAGCACUCAAGGGUGAGUGAGUUGGUCUUUCUUGCAUAUAAAUCAACAUGCAAGAGACCCAAACCUCUUCUGGGUUCUCUGCAACUCCUGAAAAAGAUGACAGGAUUUGCAGGACCGUGCCCUUGUUCUUUAGGAGCUUGCACUUUACAUUCUGAUCACUUAGCACAGAGGUUGCCAACAUUUUUGAGCCUGUGAGCACAUUUGCAAACUGGAUAAAUAGUCAUGGGCAACUGCUCCUACCACAACCAAGCACACACACCUUAUUCUGCGAAUGCUUCUUUCAAGCCUAAUUUCAACAGUGGUAGGGAACUCUGCAGGUGCCAGGGAAGGACUUAUGGAACAUUGUUGUCCCCAAUUAUUUUCUUCCCAGGUUUGGGGAAGCAAGAGAAAUCCUACUUUACGUACUGCAAUUAUUAGAGAAAAAUAGGGUCUCUGAUCUGUCUAAUAGUGUUAUAGAUGUCGGGCUGGCAGGCCUCUGAUGAGUGUGCACCAGGGGCAGCAGGGCUGGCUCAGGAGUGGGGGCGGUGGUUUGUAGAGGCUUGUACCAGCCAGGAGGCAAGAAUUGGAGGCAGGGGAAGCUUUAGAACUAGAGGUUGGAGCACAGGAUGCCUCAGAAGAAGACGAGAAAGAGGCAGUCAGGCAAGUGAAAGGCUAGGUGCUUCUCCACCCUUUUCUGUAUCACUGUCUCCCAGAACCAGGAGGGAAUUGAAAAGGGAUGUAUUGAGAAAGUUUCCACUCUGGUGCAGUCUCAGACUGUGUGCACGCAGCCCUUCCGGUGAAGGUAUAUAAACUGGUGGAGGGGGAGUGGUCCCAUCAUUGCUGCAACUGCUCCAUAGAGUGUGGACCUGGGAAUAGCUGCCUAGCUGUUAGAUUGGUGUGCAUAGACAUACAGAGAUGUAGAAGUGACUGUGUUAUCUUUGACAAUAAAUACUUAACUGUCUGCAGUGUGAAUUCCUUGGCUGGGAAGUGCCAUUGACAAUAGAUCACAAUCUUUUGUACCCUUUCAGGUUGACCUGGUUACGGUGCCAGAGGAGCAUUUUCACAAUCAGCAAAACAUUUGUACCGGAUUAUUGCACAUCAUGAUCUAUAUGGCCCUUUUCCUGCACACGAAUGUAUGAAUUAAGUUAAAGGGCCUGCAGAGGAAAACACAAGCAACCUCUUUCAAGUCACAUCCUGAACAGACCAGAAGGAAAAAAAUAGACUCCCAUUGACAUCUAGGGGAGACAAAUGACUAACGCAAUCAGUCUUGAAUUGUUGUUAAGUAGCUAUAUACCUUCUGUGACUUUGCUUCUAGCCAGUGUUAGAAAAGUUAGAUAAUCUGCAACAUGGUACAGUGAACGGCUAUGCAAAGACCUGUUACUAUUAUGCAAACAUAACAUUAACUGGAUUGGACUGUCUGUCCAGAAGGGGCUGCAGCUGGCAUACCAGCUGUAACUUGUGAAAGUUGUGUCAUGCCACAGAAGCUGCUUAGGCCUCCAAAGUCAAGGCUGCUGCUAAUGAUACCCUCAGAUUAUAAAUUUGAGACUUUGGAAGAGUUGGUUGAAUGCUACUACUCUGGGCAAAUAAAACACCAUCUUGUUUGGAUUGACAUUUGUUAGCCAUCUUCUAGCCCAUUAGAGAAUCCUGUUGUUGACUCAGCACUCCUAUGGCUUUACCUGAAUUUGAUGAGAAGGAAAAGUAGAGGUGGGUGCUAUCUACAGAUUGAUGACACCUCACUCAGCAGUUUUAUGUAGGUCUCAAGUAGUAUGGGGGACGACAACACGAAGCCCUGCAACAGCAUAUCUGCUAUGGUUCAGAGCAACAAUCUGCCAUUUGGGCUGGGCGAUAACUAGUUUUCGGUAUUGUGAUAUAUCAACAGCAAAACAUUGCAAUAUAUUGCUAUAUCUGAAAUAAGGAAGGAACGCAGAGGCGAACAGGACAGUGUCCUGGCAACUGCUACUACUUAAGGGUCUAAAAUGUAUACAUGAUUAUAUUAUCAAUAACCUUAUGGUCACUUUCAGCAGCAGGCAAGCCAAUAUGCAACCAAAUGAGACUUUUGGUUGGGGGCUUGGCUACCAAAUGGUGGUAUUCAGGACAAUCCACUACGGUGAUGAGUCAUAGUGAAUCCAAAUAAUCUGGGAUUGUCAGACUGCCAGCAGACAGUGUUUAGCUGGUAAGUUACUGUGAUGUUUAGCUGGUAAGUUAUUGCAAUGUUGAAAACCAGAUAUCACCUAGCCCUCAGGCACAUUGUGAUUCGUGAUAUAUUGCCAGGUCAAAUAUUGUGAAACAGUUAUCACGAUGUGAACUUUAAACUGACUUUGGACAAUAUAUUGAUAUAUUGCCCAGCCCAAUCUGCCAUAACCAGCUUUUGGAAACAGUCAUCAAUCAAGGCUGAGAAAUGGAGUUUAUGGGCAUCUUGAUAAUUUUUGGGGGAUGAUGGAACUUUUAGAAAUUGCUUUUCAUAACAUAACCAUGCUAAAAUGAUAAUUACUGUUGUAGUUUUUGUAGCAUUCUGGCGUAAAACAAUAAUUGGAACUAUGUCACUUUGCAAACCUGAGUAGAUCUAUAGACAAACAAAUAACAAGAAAUACCUGACCAUUUUAUUAACCAAGCAUAGUGAAAUGCAAGCAGUUAACAAACAGUAUGGCUCGUGAAACACAGUGCCAUAGAAACACAACAUCUUUUGUGCCUAAAAGCUGCAGUGGCUCCUAUGUUCUUAGCAUUUAUUAACUGAUUUUCUAAAUUUCUCUUUGACCUGCAAACAAAAAUGUUUCUUUUUAUAGAACUUCUUUUAUAACUAGUUUGUUCAUGUCACCUCUGUGUAAAGGCAUUUGUGCAUUUUUCUCUCUCCUCCCUUUUGGGCGUUCUUUGUAACUUUUGGUUGAAACAAUAAACUUAGUGUUCCUUUUUGAACAUCUGGUUGUUUUUGAAAUGGAGCUCCAUGAAAUAAUUAGUUUUUAACCUCAAUCAUAUGAGGCAUCUUUAAUGGUUUGUGUUUUUGUUUCCUCUGUGGAGACUUUACUUCCUGAAUUCUGUUUCGUUGUUCUGAUCUUGUUCCUGGGCAACUUUCAAUUAUGUUGUGUGAGGUACUAAGGAGAAUUGAACCCAUGGAAACAAGUGUUUCACCAAGCUGAAAGGCGCUUGAUCUCGUUUUCCAUACCUCUUGUUAAAAUAAAAAUUGUAAACGUGUGAAAAAAACCUGUUAUUGCUUUCUGGAGACCUAGGAAACAGAAAUUCAUAUCUAAUAUACUUGUGUUUCUUUCUGACUAUUGCUGCCUCCAUAGGAAAAUGCCCAUAUGUAAGCCUUGAACUUAACAGUUGAGGCUAGUAAAUGCAGCUAGAUUUUUAGUCCAGCAAGAUUUAAUAUGGACUAUUAUUGAAAGUUGGCUGAUACAUGAACUAAUUAUCUGCACAGAACAACACUCUUCUUUCCAACACUUCAUGUUUCAUACUUCAUCUAGUCUCUCUCCCAAUCCCUAAAUCAUGAAAUCAAAUAAUUACAGAAGCUUCUCCUUAAAAGUUCAGUGAAAGGAAGCUUACAGUUGGAUACAUCUUAGCAUCCCUAACACCAGACAAAGACAGAGAGCCUCAAACGUCCACCUGCUCCAUAUUUUUCCUUUGUAUGGGAUCCAGGCAGCAGUGUGGAAAACAGCCAGAGUUUAGAGAAGUAAUUUGGAAGGUAACUGAUUUUACUGAAUAAGAGGAAUGUUUUAAUGUCCCUCCUCAUAUACAAAAGCAGUAAGAAGCCUAUUGAACAUUAACAUAUUACAUAAAACUGAAAUAUGCGUAUAUUUAUCACUAGAAACUUGAAUACAGUAUGCCGUAUUCUGCGACAGGGUGAGCUCCCGUUGCUCGGUCCCAGCUCCUGCCAACCUAGCAGUUCAAAAGCACGCCAAAAAGUGCAAGUCGAUAAAUAGGUACCACUCCGGCAGGAAGGUAAACGGCAUUUCCGUGUGCUGAUUUUGGUGUUCCAUUGCACCAGAAGCAGCUUAGUCAUGCUGGCCACAUGACCCGGAAAAACUGUCUGCAGACAAACGCCGGCUCCCUGAGCCUGUAAAGCAAGAUGAGUGCCGCAACCCCGGAGUCGUCUGCGACUUAUCUUAACUGUCAGGGGUCCUUUACCUUUACCUUUUUGCUGUUCAAAGACGACUAUAGGUGGCUCUGACAUUCUGUUAAUCAGCAUAUAAAAUGUUUUAGAAAAGAGAACUUCACAAUAUUGCAUUAGAUUAGGGGUAAUUAAAAUGGUGACUCUUUUUCAAACUUCCUUUUUCAAACUUACACUUUUUAUGUCAUUUGUUGCUAAUCGUGAUGGGGACUAGGGAAUCCCGAAUUUAGAAUUGUACUACCUGGCAAAUCAGCUUCCAGAAGAUAAAAACAAACCAUGGUUUCAUUUAGAAUCUGAACAGAUAAGAGGGUCUUCCUUUUCAUUCCUUUUUAUUCUCUAAGAAUAAAUUCAGAAAUAAUCUGCAUAUGUCUAAUCAUUUGGUCCAGAUGGUGCUUCGCUGUUGGCUUAGGAAGGUGGUUGUACUUGCUCCAGUGUGGUACCCUUUAAUUCCCUUGGCAUUCCACUCCUUUUAUAACAGAAAUCAUAUACAGUGGUACCUUGGAAGUUGAACGGAAUCUGUUCUGGAUGUCCGUUCAACUUCCAAAACGUUCAGAAACCAAAGGAAGGUCCUGCAGCCAAUCGGAAGCCGUGUAAGCCAUGUCAAACAUUUGGGUUCCAUAGAAUCAUAGAAUCAUAGAGUUGGAAGAGACCACAAGGGCCAUCAAGUCCAACCCCCUACCAAGCAGGAAACACCAUCAGAGUACUCCUGACAUAUGGUUGUCAAGUCUCUGCUUAAAGACCUCCAAAGAAGGAGACUCCACCACACUCCUUGGCAGCAAAUUCCACUGUCGAACAGCUCUUACUGUCAGGAAGUUCUUCCUAAUGUUUAGGUGGAAUCUUCUUUCUUGUAGUUUGGAUCCAUUGUUCCGUGUCCGCUUCUCUGGAGCAGCAGAAAACAACCUUUCUCCCUCCUCUAUGUGACAUCCUUUUAUAUAUUUGAACAUGGCUAUCGUAUCACCCCUUAACCUCCUCUUCUCCAGGCUAAACAUGCCUAGCUCCCUUAGCUGUUCCUCAUAAGGCAUCGUUUCCAGGCCUUUGACCAUUUUGGUUGCCCUCCUCUGGACACGUUCCAGUUAAAGAAUGUUCCAAAGAACGUUAGCAAACUGGAACACUCACUUCAGGGUUUGCAGCAUCCAGGAGGCAAAAUGUUUGAGUUGUAAGGCGUUCAGGAUCCAAGGUACGACUCUAUACAUGCAGCAUUCUAUUUGUAUGCUGUCUUUCCAUAGUUAAAUCCAUACUCUAGGUGGCUUGAGAUGCGGGUGGCGCUGUGCUCUAAACCACUGAGCUUCUUGGGCUUGCAGAUUGGAAGGUUGGCAUUUCAAAUCCCUGUGAUGGAGUGAGCUCCUGUUGUUAUGUCCCAGUUCCUUCCAACAUAGCAGUUUGAAAGCAUACCAGUGCAAGUAGAUAAAUAGGUACUGCUGUGGCAGGAAGUUUUCCUGUGUGCUCUGGUUUCUGUCACGGUGUUCCGUUGCGCCAGAAGCUGUUUAGUCAUGCUGGCCACAUGAACUGGAAAGUUGUCUGUGGACAAACGCCAGCUCCCUUGGCCUGAAUGCGAGAUGAGCGCUGCACCCCAAUGUCACCUUUGACUGGACUUAACUGUCCAGGGGUCCUUUACCUAUUUACCUUUACCUUACAACAUGAAAUUACAUAAUUACAAAAAAUACAUUAAAAAUAACAUAACCAAAAUGAAUAAUUCCCACAUAAAUCAAAAUAAGAUCUAAAAACAAAUUUACAUACCAAAAAUUAAUAUAAAUAACAGCAACAACUCCCUCCAAACAUAAAAGCUCCUAAACAAUACGGCAACCAAAGAUUCUGUUCAGCAACCUCAGAUUCUGUAGUUCGAGUCUUGUCAAGUCCCCUCCCUCCCAGGCCAGGUGGAAAAAGGACUGCAAGGCAGGGAACAGGUUUUCCGGGACUCUCAGCCAUGAUAUAAGGAGGUUAGGGUAUAUAUUUUACCUUUAGAGGUAAAAGAAGAAGUAGUAAGAACAGAUUUUUUUCUGUUUGGUAUGAUUUUAUUGUUGACAUUAAUUAUGCAGAAUGUAACCUUUCGCCCCUGCCUCUGCCUAUAAAUGGCUGUGAAUAACACGGUAAAAUAGAAAUACAUGUAGAACUUUACAAACUAAGGUUUGCUGGAAAUGCAGCUCACCCCCCUGUAAAAUCAACACUUUAUGACAGCUUUGCUGGCUCCCAGUAUGUUUACCAUGCACAAUUCAAAGUGCUGACUAAAUCCUUUCAUGGUUUGGGACUAGGAUUCCUGAAGGAUUGAAAACCUCCACAUGAGACUGCCCAUGUGCUCAGCUGAUUGUUAGAGGAUUUUAAGUAGGUGCCGUCACCAAUGAAGUGUGGCUGUCUGUGACCAAGAAAAGGGUUGGUGCAGUAGUGAUGCCCACAUGUAGAAUGCUGUUCCCAGGGAGGCUGUGUCUACACUAUUUUGCUUGUGUCUAGUGAAGGUCCUUUUAUUUUAUUUUUUUUAAAAACCCACCUUUUGACAUGGAAGUGUUUUUUAAUUCUAGUUUUAUCUGCUGUUUCAGUUUGCUUAUUUUGUUUUAAAAGGCUGUUUGUUUUUGUGAAACUUUGUGUAAACUGCCUUGGAAUAUUUUAUCUGAAAGGCAGGAUAUAAUAAUAUAAACAAAUAAAAUCUGUUCAUUGGUUCUUUAAUCCAACUGUGACAAAGAAGACUUCAUCUGUGCAUCUCAUUCCCUCCUAAAGCCAGCUAUACAGGGACGAAGCUUUACAGUAGUGGUGAUGUACCCCUUGCCCAUGAGCCCAAUUUGGCCUGCCAGUUGUCUCUCUUUGGCCCACCAGGAUGCUUUGGCCAAGCCACUCCCACCUGCCCUACAUCUGAUGUCAUAAGAUGUACCCGUGGGAACAGGUAAAAAUGCUGCUGUGUCUAAGGAGGCUUACAGGUACAUUUGAUCAGCUGAUAGUCGAAACCUGCAAAGUGUGGUGCGCAGCACUUUGCAAGUGCUGAGCAGCUGAUUCAGUAUCUGCAUAACGUGAUGUGCAGUGCUUUGCAAGAUCUAAUAAUCAUUGGGCGUUCAGCUAUACAAAAAUGGAUUAUCUGGCGUAACUGUGAUGUAAAGUGAUUGACAGGUGGGUGGCCCUGUCCACCUGUCAGAUUUGUCCCAUAGGAUGAUGUGGAGAUAAUGAUCUGACCUUCUGGCUGCAUCCAGUUGCCCACUCACCCCUGCAGCAUAGCACAGCAGUUCUAGUGGCUUCAGUGCUAAGCUUCUACUACUGGAAGAAAAUAGACUCUGGCUCUGCUUGCUGCAGGAUCCCUCUCUUGGUGCCCUUCCUUCUCCUAGUGUCUUUUAUUCCAGUAGGGUGUGUGUGUGUGUGUGUGUGUGUGUGUGUGCUGCGUACAGUUUGAUAAUCACUGAAAUAAACAAGUAAACUUUAGGUGACAUGAUUUUAAGCAAGUUAUGUUAUCAUACUUCCAUAAAGUGGAAAAUUGUUUUGAAAUCUCCGCUGCAGGGCUACUAACUAACAUACCUGUCAGUUUGGGGUGAUCUAUGAGGUCUUUCCUAAGAUAAGUACUAUCUACCAAUUUUCAGAAAUGACUUUGAAGAAAUAAUAGAUAUCAUGAGCCAGAGCCCUAAGAACUGUGAAUCUAGUUCCUAGAGCCCAAGGGGCUUUAUACUAGUUUUUCUUAAAAUAGAAGCCCCUCUUGAUGUGUGAGAAGCUGCUUUAAAAAUUGAGAAGAAUUGAGGGGAAGUUUGUGGUGUGGCACAUUGCCCAGCUGUUCAAAGAAAAAAAAAGGGGGGGGAAUUCUUCUGGGUGAGCAUAAGCUCUUUGUGUGAGCCUGAGCAUCUCUUUGGAUCGUAGCCAUGACCAUUGACUCUGCAGAGGAUAUAAAACUGGAAGGAAUGAGGAACUAUAUGGAGGGCUAGAUUAAAAGUGAGCAGUGGUAGAUUGAGAACAAUGAAAUGAAAUUUAAGGAAGACACAUGGUGAGUUUUGGGAGUUAAGCACCAAAUAUCUGAGCAAGAGGCUCUAUCUAGUUACCGUAUUUUUUGCUCCAUAAGACACACCUAAUUUUUAGAGGGGGGAUGCAAGGAAAAAAAUAUUCUUUAAAGGGAGCGUUGAGCAGAGCCUGUAUGCAUCCCAUACAGCCAGAACAGCCAGAAGCCAGGACAGCGUACUGGCUUAUGGGAUAGCUGCGCGCAGCCUCUCCCGGGCAGCGGUAUGAAGGCUCCUCCAAGAGCCGCGCUCCCUUUAAAGAGUGCGCGGAGUGUGUGUGCGGCUCUUGGGGGCUUUUCCCUGAGGAGGGAGAAGGGCAGCCCUUCCUCCUCAGGGAAAAGCCCCCAAGAGCUGCACACAUGCUCCACACGGCUCUUUAAAGGGAGCGGUGAGCAGAGCCUCACGCCUGCAUUCACUCCAUAAGACGCACACGCAUUCCCCCUUACUUUUUAGGAGGGAAAAAGUGUGUCUUACAGAGCGAAAAAUGCGGUAUAUUUUGUGUAGGUUUGUUGGUAUGGCUCGCACCAUUUUUACCUGUGUUGUCUACUCCUUGCCAUGUUUUCUUUACAGUGGUACCUCUACUUAUGGAUGCAAUCCGUUCCGGGGCGCCGUUCGCACCCUGAAAAGUCUUAAGUAGAGCGCCGCUUCUGCGCUUGCGUGUAACGCAAUAGAGCGCUCCUGCACACAGAAGGCUUCUGUGCAUGCGCGGCAAAACCUGGAAGUAUACACUUCCGGGUUUGCCAUGUUUGCAACCCAAAAAUCCGCAACCUGAACCUAACUCAACUAGAGGUAUGACUGUACUUGCAUGUGUUACCAUUUUCUUUUUGUCUGCAUAUUGAUGUAUUGUGUUCUCACUUGGUGAAACUGGAGUUUACUUGUCUGUCACAUAUGUUCAUUUUUUUAAAAAAAUACAUUUUUAUGAAAUGCUGUUGUUGGAAAUGAUAGAAGAAAGAAUGUACGUCAAACAUUGCAAAAACAAAGGAUCUGCUUAAGCUUUAAGGCAGGGAUGGUGAGCUCUUUUCAGCUUGAGGGCUGCAUUCUGUUCUGCGUAAUCUUCUGGGGGCCACAUGCCAGUAGUGGUCUGGACCAGAGGCAAAAAAAAAAAAAAACUAAGCAAAGCAGCAAAUGUGAAUUUUAUCUUUGUAUAGUAGGCUAGUUUCUACACAUUCACUUCUCUAUAUCCUUUGUCCAGGCAAGCAACAGAAAAGCAUUAUCAGAGUUCAGGGACACAUUUCAGCCUUGCAAAACCGCUCAGGGCUGAGGUUCCCCCCCCCCACCUUAAAGAAAUCUCAAAAGGGUUGCUGGAAUGAAGAUGAGAGUAGCUUCAAAAAUUAGUAGAGGACAAGAAGUACCACUAAAUUUUGAGAGUGAAUGAAUGCAUUUGGAAAAUGAACACAUUUAUUCAUAUUGUACAGUAUGUCACUUAUUUCUCUUUGACAGAUAGGAACUGAGGCUGAAAAGCACUCGCUUUCCCAACAGAGCCAAUAGUUGUCUUGUGUGAACUAGGAUUUGAAAUGCUGAUCCCACAGCCUUCCUUGUGGGCAGAACCACAUUCUUUAACACAUUACACUACCCUAAUUAAACAAUGUUUUCUGACUAGCUUGAAACUAGUGUGGAAUAGGAGGAUUACUAUGUAUAGUAUUCCAGUAAAUGAGGAGGGACUGCUUUUCCUGUUAGUUUUUAAGGAUUGUUAUAUGCUUCUUCACUGAGUUGGAAUGUAUGUUUAUCUCCUUAAACAAUUGUUUUCCUAUAUGCAUAUUUUUUGUAAGGUAAUUUAACUUUGCUUACAUGCUGUUUUCAUAUUUUACUGAGUUUUUAAUUUCCCACAUCAUAAAAUACAAUUGUUAAGGGUUCUCCUGGGUGAUUUUCUCCCUUCACAUUUUGCCAUCUUUUGGUAAACUCUUGGCAUUUUGGUUUGGGUAAAUAGCCAUCUUCUGCUCCUGGCAUAAAUAGAUAUUUUGCAGAUUGGCUGUUGUACCUACAAGCCAAUGUGACCACACUCUGAAAAUACCUGAAGGCAGCCCUGUUUAGGGAAGUUUUAAAUGUCUGAUGCCUUAUCAUGUUUUUAAUAUUUUAUUGUGAGCCUCCCAGAGUGGCUGGAAAAACCCAGCCAGAUGGGUUGGGUUCAAAUAAAUUAUUAUUAUUAUUAUUAUUAUUAUUAUUAAUCUGGAAAUAAUUCUGCUAAUUGUGAUGAAUCGUGAAAGGUUCUGUUGUCAAUGUGGGUGGGCAUCUGAACAUAUGUGAGCACUCUAUGAUAUGCCCAUGGGUAAUGGUGCUGCUAAGAUGUGUUAAUUGGGGGAAGUUUCAGUAUAAUUGUCAUGUGACAAGUGCACCAAAUAACCAGAUAUGGUGAUAGUCCUUAAUGCACUAACUUUUAUGCUAAAACCCCCAAAUUCUACCUUUGAGAUAUAUAAUGUUAACAAGUUAUAACAAUGCAAAUAUGCAAAUCCUAUUCUGCGUCCAGAUUUUCCAUUGCAUUGGGGGUUUUUUUGUUCUUCCUCCCUCUCCAAAGGAAGAUAGUCAUUGGGGUAAAGGGUGUAAAGCACAAACAAGUUAGGAAGUCUUUUCCCUUGCUUUGCAAUUACAGGGUGGAGGAGGAAGGGAAAGUAGAACUGAUAACUUAAAUAAAGGAAAAAAAUGGUCAGAGCUUUGGUCUGUUUUUACUGAAUGAAUUGAUAGAAGUUGCUCACGAUUUCCAGCCAAAAUUAUUAUUAUUUGGUUGGUACCCAUUUCAGUUCUUCAUAGCUGCAACACUGUAAGGGGAAAAGGCAAUUUGAGGAGUAGGAUAUCUGAAUUACCCAUUAUUACUCACCUAUUGGCUAUAACAGAGACUGAGAGGUGUAUACCAUGCUAGUCCUGCUCAGAGUAGAACUAAUGAAGUUAAUGGAAAUGACUAUCUUACUUUCAUUAAUUUCAAUUGAUGUACUCCGAGUAAGGCUUGCAGUGGAUACAACCCUGGUUCACUACCUUGUUGCCAUAGUUGUGCUGGCUUCUCUGCGUUGCUGUAAAAUUUGAGAAUCGCAAGACCAUUCCAUACUGUGCCUCCUCUGGUGCAUAUCAUGUUACUCUAGUAGUGCAGGAAGGAACAGCCCUGCUGUGGCAUUCAUUGCACCAUGCUACUGUAAGAACCCAGUCCUGAUGGUCUUAGAUGCAUGUCUAAACUGGAUUGCAUGAACUUUCACAACUUAUCAACGCAAAAGCAUAUAUGCAUAUACUGUAUUGUAUUUAGAUAUUACUAGAAUGGGAAACAGUUUGUGGUUGGUUGUACAAUUGUUAUAUUGUCGGGAAGUUGUCUGACAUAACAAGUCUGUUUCAAACAAGGGGCAAGUUUUCUAAGUGGCGCUCAGUGCUUUUAAAUUAUUGGUUUUCUCUGGAUCUUAAAUGAUUUGACAGGCUGUUGGAUUCUAAUUGCAGAGUGUAAUUAAAAUAAACACCACAAUGCUAAUCAUUUAUGUAUUUUGCCUGUGGCUGAAGUUUUAAAUUGGGCACUGUGAUAGUUCAGUGGAAGUGUUGUUAUUACUUUCUAUUAUUCUGCAUGUUUUCAGUCCAGUGAUAUUUUUGAAAAGUGGAUAAAAUACUGCUGCACAGUGUCAUUCUGGUUUUUUCAUUACUUAAUUGUAUAUUCUAGUAAUAAUGUAAUUAUUGCUUUUAACAAAAUCUGCCUGACUUGAGUGUUUAAUUUUAUCAGACUCGAGCAGUUGCUGAUGAGGGGAAUAAAUGACAGGUUAUACAUGGAUAUGAAUGCUCAAUUAUUAGCUUCUUUGGGGGAAAAUGUUUUGCUUCUGUCCAACAGUUAGUGUUGCAAAUCAAAGCAAUAUACCAGAUGUUUUUCUUAAUGACUGCAAUUCAAGUUUUUUGUUUUGUUAUUUUUUUUUGUAAAUAAGGAAGUUUGAAAGGACAGCAUUUCCUUCUCUUUAAAGUUGCUGUUGCUUGUCAGUGCCACACAUAAAACGAUUAUUUCACAACCACUCCCUCUGGACCUUAGUGGGAUAAACGUCUUUGGAUAACGCUUUCCCAGGCUCUUGUUGCAACGGAAAUGGAUUUUGCAAGACAAUACAAGUCUCCUCCAUGGAAAAAGUGUAUGUUAGAUCAGAAUUCUAAAUCUAUAAAAGUUUUGCCUUAAAGAUCAGGAAAUAGGAACUAAGAUUCCCCUCACCCAAAAAAUUUAAAUAAAGAUUGAAAGAAAAUAGAUAAAGGUUAAUAUCAAAUAUCUGACAUCUUUAUAUCAAAGAUAAAAAAAUAAUUUAAAUAAAAGCACAAACCAAAAGGAGGAAAAGAAAGAGAAGAGAAAAGCAAAACAGAACAAUCCUUAGAUUUCUGACUACCUGGUAGACCAUUUUUGCAAAAUCCAUAUGGUUAUUCCAACACUUCUCAUUUCUAUUCCUCCAUGGAUAGUCUAUGUACAAUAGGGAUAAAAACAUCAAAUGUGAAUAUAUAGUAAUGUCUUUUUGGGUUUUAGCAUUCUUAAAGGGCUUGAAUUGCUGCUAUGAAUGUGUCAGCAACGAUUCUUCAUGAAGAAUUGGAAAUUCAAGCACAGUGUGCAUGAUUUGCUUAUGAUUUGAACAUGUGCAGAAGACUCUCCCCCCCCCCCCGGCACCUUUCCCCCGCUUUGGCUUACCUGCUGCCUUCUUUCUAACUCAAGACUGUUUUGGGAACUUCAAAACUGAAGGAAGAAUUGAGGUACACAUGUAGAAUUCUCUCCUCUGACUCAGCUUGCUGUGUCUUAAAUGUUUUGAGCAAUUAAAGCAGGGGAGCUAAUAUUUUCUUAUUUUUUAACUCAAGGGCCAUAUUCAUCCUCUUGGCUGACCCUCUUGGGGCUGUAUCCCAGCAUAUGACACAGGAAGUGAAUUGCAUCCUUGUCAGGCACUGGAUUGUCUAUCAAAGUGUUUUCUUUUUUCUUUUUAUUCCUUUACCAAAUCACUGGAACGUGGGGAAGAAAAAAUGCUUGUGGGGGGUAGUUGAGACUGGGGGAUUAGCCACCCUGAAUUUAAAGCAAUGACUCCUUUUUAACCAAUAAGAGUAUUGUGACACCUUGAAGGCUAAGAAAUGUAUUAUGACAUCAGACUUCAUGGACACUUAAUUCCAGUAACAUAAUGUUUACAAAAAAUAUGGCAGUACCAAAUAGGCAAUUAGAGAAAAUCCCCACCUCCAGUAUAAAUCAGAGUGUAAAUGCUGAGGUUUGAAAAACAGCAGUAAGGAAUACUAUUAAUAAUGAAAUGCAGUAAUCGUAUAUACGAUAUAUGAAACAGAUGUUGGGAAUCUUUCUUUGUUCUUUAACAACUGGCAGAAAUUUGCAUAUUAAUAACAAAGUAGCAAAAUCUUGUGGCACUUUAAAGACUAACAAAUAUGUUGUGGGAUAAGCUUUCAUGGGCAUGUAAGCUUAUGCCACGUAAAUUUGUAAGUCUUUGAGGUGCUGCAAUACAUUUUGAUCUUCAUGCUGCAGUAGCUAUCUCCAUUGAAAUUGUCCUCUUUAACAGUAAUUACAGUAAACAAUACCUUAAAAAUGGAAAAGGCAUAAGACUUGUACAAGUGUGAAGCAUGCAUGUCUUGAACUUAGAAACAUGAUGCAGUAAAAGGCAUUGGCUGAAACUUUUCAAGGUCUCUAAGUGAUAUAAAAACAUAAAACAGGCUGCUGUUAGAAAUCUAUUAAAACAUUACCUGGUUCACUGAACAUUCACUGUAAGCUCCUCCUUGAAAUCCAUUAUAUUCCUUUUAGAAAGAUGUUUUUUAAAAGCCCCAGCAACCUUGUCUGGACAGGUGGACAUCAGGGAAUUUUGUAGCUUUAUUUUUAUAAAGAAAUUGUGCAGAAUUAAUAUUGAUUUAAUAUGGCAGCUUGCUAGCACAACCAUAUCAAUGGGUCACUUUCCAGGUUUGCUUAUAAAGUGUCUUUCUUUCUCCCUCACACCUCCUCUAGUUCGGGAAUGUUUUUGCCAGGGCAGAGGGGAUAAGGGAGCUCCCAUUCUUUUUAAAAACCCAUUUUGAAGGUUUUAUUGCUUGAUUUAAGUUGUUAUGAGGCUGGAAUUUGGUGCAUACAUUCUUGGGAACUGGAAUUGCAUGCUGUUGUGAAGUCUACUGUGUUCAUUGAUUUGCCUACCAUUCCCUUUCAUACACAUUUUAUUAAAUUGGUUUCUACAGCUGUGUUCUCUUUUGUGGCUGAGCACAUAUCUGUUUAAGUAAGCUCCUUGCUUGGGUUGUUAUGCUAUUUAAAAGCAGCUAUGAAUCAUUACAAUUAUUGGUACUAGAGAGAUCAGCUUGGCAUGUGGGUUUUGUGAAGAAUCCUCUGUACUUCAGGUGAACCUUUGAGAACCUAAGCAGCGUUAAUUCAUUCCCAAAUCAGUUUUUAUAUUGUCACAGGUAAGUUUUGUUAAAUAUUUUUGGAGAUGUUAUCUUAAUACCAUUUGUUACUAGUAAGGAAGUAAAUGUUGAAUUCACAUUUGCUUUGACUGUUAGCAAGUAGGGCUGGAUCAGUGUUGGCAUUCAGGCAUGGAAUGACUUAAGGGUAAAAACAGUCCCAGUGAACAUGCUAGUUAAUCUCCUAGUCUCUUGGCGCUGCAUACCUCAGGUGCAUGAAUGUGGUAUUUGAAUAGACAGAAUUGAAUUGCAGUCAUGCUGUGUUUGGCAAAACAGCCCAGUACAGAACUUCUGCCAAUUUCUGUUGUUCUUGUGAGGUCUUGUUGUCAUGAGUGCUGACUGAAAUUCUGUAUCUUAGACCUGUCUUUUGGUGUAAAAGUAAAAAUAAGAGUCAACAUUAUGAAGAUCUAGGAAUAAAACACAGGAGGAAUGCUAGACUAUGAACUGUUUCAGAGAUCUCCGUCUGCUAAACAACAUUGCUAAAUUUUAUUCAAGCUCUUGGCAGAGAGAACAAUUCUAUCUGUGAGAGGUCAAGCAAAUACAGUUUUAUUUAUCGCAGUGGCUUGGUUGCGGAAACUGAACAAGUGGCUUUUGUGCCUUAUGAUUUGUCAUGAAACGUUGCUUAAAACAGCAGAAAAGGUUGUGUGUGGACUCACUUAAGAGCUAUCUUAGACAUCUGCAAACUCCGCAGCAACUACAGUGACAAUUAAGUGCAGUUAAUGCAUGCUAAGUUUUCCCAAAUUGAGUUAAUUGCUCAAGAACUUAUAUAGUGAGUAUUGUGAAGAUGCAAAAUGCUGUUGCCAAGUGUCCUUGCUAGCACAGGCAUGGCUAUUGACAGAAAUUUGGAAUGGUUCUAAAAGAAAAAUCUUUGGCCAGUUGACUGGCCUCAAGCUUUAGGAAUGAUGUGGAGUUCACCAAUGCUAAAACAUUAGAAUAAGGCGGAUGACAUAAUCAGCAGGAAUCCUGCCAGCUAUUCCUGGCUGCUACUGAACUUUAGUAUUGUUUUUCGCAGUUUUACCUCAGAAUGUAGAAAACCAUGUUUCAUUCCAUUUUAAUUUCAAAUCACAUUGCACAAAUAACAUAUCAUAGCAAAUUGUGAUAGUGAAGGACAACGAUUUGGAUACUUUUGCAUGGAAUUUAAGUUUUCAGUAUUUGUGAAUAUACUGGCAUGAUCUAAUCCCCACUGCCAGUUUAGUCAGACAAGUAUUGUGGAUUGUUUCCUCAGUACAUAAUGUAGCUAUUUACAUUUUUGUACUAUGAUACCUUCGUGAAUAUUGCUUAAGAGUGAAAGAUUAACAACAGGCGUAGAAUUAUCCCCACUAUGUGAACCAGCCUCUUUUAAGCUCCAGAUGUUAGAGAAUAAUUCCAAUGGUGUAACUAUUGGUGUAUUGCAGCAAAAGCGACAAAGAUUUUUUGGAAUCUUAAAAGUCUUGCUGUGGCAUAAGCUUUGGGUGACUGGAAUCCACUUCCUCAGAUGUAAGAAGUGUAUCCUCAGUUGGCAGGUAUAAUAGACACACACAGGCAUACGUUGUAAAUGAGUCACUCUGUUCUUACCAUGGGUUGUGCAGAGAAAUGACGCACACCUACUGCUACCCCUUGCAUUUCAUGGACUUUUGACCUCACUGUUUACUUUACUUUUGUAUGCUUAUACAUAUGUCAUCUUCCAGUUGAGGCUAACACUCCAUGCAUCUCUGAUCAGUUAGUUUCUAAUUUAAAAAAGCUUAUGCUACAAAUAAAUCUGUUUGCUUUUAUGAUGCUGUUUGUUGCUUUUAGUUGGAGUAUUGGACUCAUAGUUGGAUUGUUGACAUAACUGAGAUUUGAUGUGCAAUAUCUCUCAGCUAUUUUCGAACUGUAAAAUGAAGUACAUACAGUGGUACCCCGCAAGACGAACGCCUCGCAAGACGGAAAACCCGCUAGACGAAAGGGUUUUCCAUUUUGGAGGCGCUUCAGAAACGAAUUUCCUAUGGGCUUGCUUCGCAAGUCGACAGCCCAUAGGGAAAUCUCAGGGACAGCGGGGAAGCGCAGCGCGUCUUCCCCACUGUCCUCGGACCUCCUCCGAAGCCUGGCGGCGGGGCGGGGACACAUCCUCCCGCCGCCGCCGGGCUCGGAAGGCUCCUCCGGCCGGGCGGGGGGAGGGAACACCUGCCGCCGCCGCCCGGCUCGGAACGGUGCCCGGGCCGGGCGGGGGGAGGGAACACCUAGCCGCCGCCGCCCGGCUCGGAACGGUGCUCCGGGCCGGGCGGGGGGAGGGAAGACCUCCGCCGCCGCCCGGCCUCGGGAACGGUGCUCCGAGCCGGGCGGGGGGAGGGAACACCUGCCGCCGCCGCCCGGCUUCGGAACGGUGCUCCGGGCCGGGCGGGGGAGGGAACACCUGCCGCCGCCGCCCGGCUCGGAACGGUGCUCCGGCCGGGCGGUGGGGAGGGAAGACCUCCCCGCCGCCCGGCUCGGAACGGUGCUCCGAGCCGGGCGGGGGAGGGAACACCUGCCGCCGCCGCCCGGCUUCGGAACGGUGCUCCGAGCCGGGCGGGGGAGGGAACACCUGCCGCCGCCGCCCGGCUCGGAACGGUGCUCCGAGCCGGGCGGGGAGGGAAGACCUCCGCCGCCGCCCGGCUCCGGAACGGUGCUCCGAGCCGGGCGGGGGAGGGAAGACCUUCUGAAGGCGGGCGGGGGCGAAGUCCUUGCUCCCCUGCCUGCCUGUCCCGGAGGGCUUUGAAGGCGGGGAGCAAGACUUCGCCCCGCCCGCCUUCAGAAGAGGUCCAGGACCACUUCUGAAGGCUGGCGGGGGCAAAGUCUUUGUCCCCCUGCCUGCCUUCCCAGGGGCUUUGAAUUGCCCCGGACAGCGGAGAAGUCCUCCGCUGUCCCGGGUGAUUUUAAAAUGCCGCCCGCCAGCAUUUUAAGAUCGCCCGGACAGCGGAGAAGUCCUCCGCUGUCCCGGGUUUUUAAAAUGCUGGGGGUGGGAAGAAAAGCCCUUGCCCUCCCCAGCCUUCAGAAGAGGUCCGGGGACAGUCUGUCCCCGGACCUGGUCUGAAGGCGGUUUCCAAUGCAUUCCUAUGGGAAACCGUGCAUCGCAAGACGAAAAACUCGCAAGACGAAGAGACUUGCGGAACGAAUUAAUUUCGUCUUGCGAGGCACCACUGUAGAUGCUUUUUUUAUACACUGCUUUCGUGAACGCUGGGAGAAUAACUGAAAUAAUAGUAAAAUGCUCAGUAUAUUUACAUCACUCGUUUUAUUUUCUAUUCUGUAUUGCUAGGGCAGUUUGUAAUAUAAACACUAAACAGUAUCAUGAAAAUAAUGCGUUGUGAUAAAUAAAACUGCAUCACAUCAGAAAACUUUUAAUAGGGCUCGCCUUCUGAAGGCACAGAUGAAAUAAAUCUAUUUGCCUGCCACCAGAAAGAUGACAGAGAAGGGAAGUAAAUGAACACUCUGCUCCAAAGUUCCUUAGCAACUAUGGUAAAAACCCUUAUUUUCACGCAGGCCCAUGCAGAGCUUGUCUGAGGCCUGGGGCGGGAGUCUUGUUAGAAUAUAAAGUUAUAAACUCAAACAAAAAAGCAGCCUGUCCCUGGUGCCCCCCCCAGUCAGUUUAGCCCUCCGAGGCUUGGGGCAAUUGUACCUAGCUGCCCCCUCCCCCACUGCAUGGGCCUGUUUUCAUGAAAGCUAACCUAGCCUCCAUACAAAGUGGCCAUUCAUUGUCAGAUUCUAAAUUUUGGCGAGGUUCAUACAGGGGAGACAUUCUAUGAGAUAACUGGGAAACAGCCAGGUGUUUUAUCUUUUAGCAGCAGGCAUGGCUAGCAUAGUAGAUGACACUGGUAAAAAGCAUUCCAAAGCUGCUACCUUUGCUAAUUCAAGAGUGAUGCUGGUGUGCCAGAGCAGCCCAGAGUGUGAACCUUUUCCAGGGCAGGCAUUUUCUCAGCCAAGGAGUCCACCACCAUUGUCAGCUCUGUUUUGCCUGAAUUGAUUUUAAAUAGAUUCAUCCGUAUCCAGUCCAUUAUGGCUCUCAGAAGUGCAUUCAGGAAUGUUGCCACCCCACAUAGAUCUGAUAAGGAGAGAGCUGAGUGUCAGCAGCAUACUAAUGACACCAAAUGCCAUAUCCGAGGAUGACCUUCCUUUGCUUGGGUACAUCAUCUGCUGAGGCAGCCAGCAUGUUUUAUAAUCCAAAACCUGUCUGGCAAUCAGACUGAAAUGGAUCUAGGUGAUCAGCUUCAUGGAAAAGCAGCUGCAGUUGGUCCAGCCACCUCCACCCCUCCAAAAAUCAAACGGUGAGUGGGCUAUAAUUACUCAAGACAGAAGGACUCCAAAGUUGGUUUUGAAGAUGGGACCUAAAGGAGGCUGGAAUAUACCCUUCUGCAAAAGAUGCUUUGACCAUCAUGCUGGCUAUUCUCCCCCAGCUAAAUGUUACUAGAUACAGGGCACCUUGUUGCAUCUCUCUCUCUUUCUCUUCUUGCACUUUGUGAACAGCCUCAGAUGGAAUCAACUGAUACUUAUCUGAGGAACCACAACUGACAAUAGCCAAGUGGCUUCUAGUACAAAUUUCAUAACUGAUGUUUCCACAGAUUUUUAGCUUCUUGACAACUCAGAAUAGAUCCACCAGAUAACAUUCUUCAAACAAUGUUAGAAACUCAGAUAUAUAAGCUAUAUAUCAAAUGCAUAAGCUAAUUACCAAACUGCACCUUAAACCUAGGUUACAUUGCCACAACAGAAUGCCUAGGUGCCAUUUCCCCUGCCUCCCACAAUAAAUGUUGUUGUUGUUCAUUUCACUUCUAUACUGCUUUAUAUUUUUAUUCUUUAUAUUUUGAAGGGAAAAAAAUCUCAAAAUUGUUUACAACACAUUAAAAUAUCUAAUAAAUUCAAGUUUCAAGGAAAAUAUCUCAGAUCCUUCUCUAAGUGACAUUUUGCUUUCCCCAUAUUUAUUUACCUACUUAAUUUAUAUAGCUGUCCCAUGGAAGAAAUACUGUAGGAAGCCAGUGUGGUGUAGUGGUUAGAGUGUUGGACUAGGACCUGGGAGAUCAGGGUUCAAAUCCUCAUUCAGUCAUGAAGCUCACUGGGUGACCUUGGGCCAGUCACAGCUUCUUAACCUGCCUCACGAAGUCGUUGUAGGGAUUAACUGAGGAGUGGGGUGACUUAUGUAGUCCUUGGCGAAAAGGUGGGAUAUAAAUGCAAUAAAUAAGCUAUUCUGCUUACCUGCUUAAGAAAGCUGGAGGGGUCAGCUAGAUGGUGGUGUCAGUCGCCCAUAUGACAUCCAGAGAUCGUCACAUGAAUGCAGUUGGACCUGUGCCAGUUGCUGAACGUGCCUGGAGCCUAGCUAAUUUCUAACACUGACCUCACUGGAUCAUUUAAACUCUUACAGUGCAAAAAAUGGAUGCAGGAAUAAUUGUAUCCCCUACAUUCUGUUACUUUUUUUUGAAUAUUUGCGCUCUAUAAGAUGACAUAAUAGAAUAAGAAUGAUUGUACAAAGAUCCAUGUGCAUAAUAAUCUCUUGGGCUUUUGAUUCUUGGGUGGUAAUUGAUGAGGGAAUUUGGGUAAUUUGUACUGCAGGAUACCUUACGCCCAUGUGACAGUUAUUGUGCCCAGUGAUUUUCAGAAUUUUGUAGAAAAUUCAGUUAAGAUCUUCAAAUAAUUUGAUUACAAAUUUCCUUGCUUCAGGCUGAGCCAUGCUUAAUUUUGUUUCACUGUAAGUUGCAUUUACUUUUGUGCAUGUUGUAAAGGAAGAGACCCAAAGAUAUUGCUGCCGUAUGUUCAUGUGCUGUAGGAAACAGAGAUGCAAAAACAACCGUUGUUAAUCAAGGCUGUUAAAAGAGAAUGUAAAUAGCAUUUCAGGGUGCAGAAAUCAUAACUUUUCUGAAAAUUAAAUAGAACAAAAUAGGUACUUAAUGGUACGGUUAGCCACAAGCUGUGCAAGAAUGAACACUCCCCUUUCUUUUAAAUUGUGAGAAACAGCUAGCGGCCAAAUGCAGAGAUUCUUCGUCAAACCUGAUUUUGCAGCCCUUGGGCACACAAGUAAUAUUAAUUUACGCAGUUCAUAGAGUUCAUUGUGACUCCUCAUCAAGGCAAGGAUUGCAGCCAGAUUUCUUGGCUCCCACUGAGAGAGCCUUGUGAUUGUGAUUCUCACAUUGUUAUGAUUUUAUUCUAACACUGCAUGUGUGUAUUGGGUCCUCAUAUAUGUGCCUUCACUAAAUGUGUGGAAGGUGGAAGACUGCAUGCUGUCCUGGCACCUGUGCUUUGAGCAGGAUGUGUAAAAAGGAACAUGUACAAUUGUAUGCAUGUAGUUGCUUGCAUGCGAAUAGGAUCCUUAUGUGAAGGCAGUCCUUCAGUUACUCAGCAAUUUCCUUUCCUGUGCUAGCCUUAGCAAUCCCUUCAGUUCCGUUGGGAAACUUCAGAAUACAUGCUCAGGUCACGCUGUCAGCAGUGGUUCAGGACCUCAGUGGCAACAGUGGGUCUGUCCCAUUUGGUUUAUGGGUCCACUGAUUCAGCAGAGUACCGUUAAUGUGGCUUCUGUGCUGGCUGGAUCUGGGUGUGAAGUAACAUCCUGAAGUUCUGUUACCUGUUAGGGUUUUGACUUAGACUGGGGCCCUGAGCUUUUGCAGGUCCAUGGAAGCUAUAAAAAUGGUCUAACAGAGGAGGCUAAUGGAUCUGAAUGCUUUCCUGAUUGCUCUUAGGGAUUUUUCGUGUCUCUCAGCAGGCAAUUCUAGUCGAGCUCUAGAAUAAGAAAAAUGUCUUGAGUGGUAGACAUGAUUACUCCUGUGUAUCCUUUCUGAGUAAGUACAGUCAUACCUCGGGUUACAGACGCUUCAGGUUGCACGUUUUCAGCUUGCGCACUGCGCUGAACCCAGAAGUACUGGAAUGGGUUACUUCCGGGUUUUGGCGCAUGCGCAGAAGCGCUAAAUUGCACUUUGUGCAUGCGCAGAAGCGCGACCUGCGUGUGCGCAGACUCGGCGCUGCGGGUUGCAAAUGCUGCGGGUUGCAAACAUGCCUCCCGCACGGAUCACGUUCGCGACCCGAGCAUCCACUGUAGUCAGUGAACUAUCUAUGUCUGAAACUGGAUAGGGGGAGUACAAAUUUGGGGUUUGUUUCGGCUGGCAGUAGAGUAUUUGUUAAGCAGUAAUCAAGUGUGAGCCUGAUCCUAUGCUCAGAAGACAAUAACUGAAUUCAGUAAACUUUACUCCCAGGUAAAGUGUAUAUAAGACUGCAGUCUUGGAGUAUGGAGAACAGUCUUUUUCGUUUUGUUUUGUUUUCAGGAAAGCUGGACGUUAAGUUUUCUAACUGAAAUAUAGGAAUUUCCCCCUCUCCCCUUUAAGCAGAUACCUUUAUAAUAGAAACAUGAGAUUUUCUGAAAUACCUACAUGAAGAAAUUUACAUACCAAGCCAUAUCUUGUUUUAGCAUGAAUUUUGCUUAAAAUAGUCUUUCCAAACUCUGUGCAGACAGUUUCAGUAAUUUAGCUUGGAAAACUUUGAACUCCACCUUUCGAAGCUUGUGCCACAAAAAAGUUUGUCUUUAAGAUGUUCUAGGGCUAUGGCUACUUGUUCCUUAAAAAGCUGACAUUCUUCAGGGGUUUUUUUUGGUAACAAAAUUUAAUAGGCAGGGAAUUGAACAGGCGUUUUGCUGUGCAAAAGUCAUACUUCCUCACACUAGUUUUGUUUUUGUUUUGCACUAGAAAAUAUAAUAGUUGUACAAUCGAGCUUUUUAUUUAAAGUAUGAAUUUGGAGUGUGUGUGUGUGUGUGUGUGGAGAUUGGCCUUUAAAAUUUCAAAGUAAAAAAUGUUGCCUUUCCCUUGGCACAGAUACACAUACAUACACUCACACACCCCUACAGAUAGAAGUAGAAUUGUAGGCUUUACAAGGGUGCAUUUGGGUUACUUUGGCACAGAAUGGAUUACAUAAAGCCAUGACCAUAGAUUGUGCUUUCUGUUCUUUAAAUUAGUUGCUUUUCUUACUCCAGCCUGUCGUCUUAUCAAGCCCUAUCUUUCUUUUCACCUUUGUCCUGCAUGUCUAUUACGUGCCUGCCUGCCAGGCUGAGAUGGUGUCUUUAUACCAUGCCUGGUAUAGUGCACUGUUGGUGUUAAUUAGCAGUAAUAAUCUCAGCCACCACCUCAGCACUGAAGUUUAAAGAAGUGAGUAAAGUGGUUUAUCUCACUUUGGGUAAUUGAAAGUUGUUUCACUUUUGUCGCUAUAUGUAAUUGCCAUGGGUAAGACACCCUUUUGAUAUCUGGCGAUGUGUCACAUAGCUAGCAGAUUCUCUCCCACUUUGUUCUAAGCUAGCUAGUAAUUUUGAGAGAGCCCCUGUGUGGUUCCCUGGAUAUAAGCGAACUCACAGAAGGAAUAUUAUACAGGCAAGCAUCUUCAUGAAAGUAAAGCCAGGCAACCAGCCCAGCUUGGUAGUGGCGGGUUCAGAUUUCAAAGCAGCUGCCAUGACCUUGACUGUGCACAGACAAGCUAUGUGUGGUACUAAGGAACUGCAAGGUCCUCUGGAUGCUUGCUGCCUUGCUGUGGUUAUUAGGGGUUUUUAUUAUUGGUCUAGCAGUUCAUAGCAGCCACUCUCCCCCCCGUCCUUAUAUGAAAGUGUUUUAAACAAGAGACAUAAGAGACUGAGAUACAAAGAAACCUUUUGAAGUUGAAAGUGGGUCUGCAUGAAAAUGAACCGCUCGUCUGUGAAAGGAGUCAAGUGUGAAAGAAUAGGAUAGUUUCACUAAAUGAUUCUGAUAGUCUGAAUAAGACACUAUAGCGAGGCAGAGACGAGAAUUUGGUAAAGGUCAGAGCUGAUCACAUGAUCUGAAGCAAGGCAGUGGAAGUACAUGAAAGGAAUUGAGUGGAAUGUUUAUGUUUUUCUCCGCAGCCUUUAUUUUUGUCAAAAGGAACUCCAGAAAAGGUAGUAAAAAGAAGCUGGGAAUCUGAUUCCUUUGGGAUCUUGUCCCCCUUUCAUUCAGCCCUUCUCUAGUCUCAAACCUUUUAAGAUCAAAGAGAGACAGUUCUUCAUUACAUGCAACAUCUCAUUAGAAAGACAAUUCUAAAACUGCGCACUUCAUUUGGCCAACACUCUUGUGCACAUUUUCCUCCAAAUUACCAUUUUAAAAUAUUCUAAGUAGAGUAGCUCUUGUUAGUGUUUCUUUUUUAAUACUUUAGUAAUCAACAUAAUUUGCAGGUUCACACACUAUAAAUCUGAAUUACUUAGAACAGAAGUAAUUUGAGUUGUGAUGUGUCUUUUGAAUACCAAAUACCGCUGUGACAACCAGCAUCUAGGACUGAGAUAUUUGCAUAAUACUGCUUUGGCCCAUUUUUUGAUUAGCGCAACUGAGAUCAGCUACUGUGUGCUCUUUAUCUCAAUUGAGAUAUUGUCUGUUGUGUCACAACUGGCAUCUUCAUCAUUAAAUCCACUUCUAUUGAUCAUCUUUUCUUACCUCUACAGGAGGUAAACAGCAAAUGUUGAUGAACAUCCAAAAUAUACCUUUUGGAUUGGUCCAAGAUAGUACAGUGCUACGUCAGGUUACAAACACCUCGGGUUACAAACAUUUUGGGUUACAGACUCUGCUAACCUAGAAGUAGUACCUUGGGUUAAGAACUUUACCUCAGGAUGAGAACAGAAAUCGUGUGCCGGUGGCGCAGCGGCAGCAGGAGACCCCAUUAGCUAAAGUGGUACCUCAGGUUAAGAACGGUUUCAGGUUAAGAACGGACCUCUGGAACGAAUUAAGUUCAUAAUCAGAGGUACCACUGUGACUCUGUCACAGUUUAAUGUCUCUAUAAACCUAGGGUGGGCAGCUUUCUGCCGUAAAUGGCCUGCCAGUUUUUUAAGAAAUUAAAUCCAGCGCAACUGUUGCCAACAAGUAUGCACCAUUUUGCACCACUUGAAGCAGGUACCUCCACUGGUUUUCUUGUUGUUAAUUGCUUUGCUGUUGCUGACAAGGUGACAGCACCACCUUUGCCUUGGUCUCCAGCUCUCGUUCACCUCUGUCUUGCUCUGAGCAAGCGCUGGGAAUCAAAGAUAGAGAUGGACUUGGAGAAUGAGGCACAGCCAGUCCACUGUGUUAGCAGCUAGGUUUCCCAUCAACGGAUCACAGCUUGUCUUUGUUGUGCCCACUCCUGCUUAUAAGCAUUUAACAUUUAUUUCUCUCAAGAGUAUGGUGGCUAUAAUUUUUUAGCCACCAAAGUUAGGUGAAGGAGCACAGCUCCUAAGGAAAUCAGUGAAGCAUAUGAGCAAUUCAAAAAAGGUUAUGCUGCAUAUAGACAAGUAUUGAUUGCCAGGAGUUUAUGCAAAACUGGGAGAAGCGUAAGUGAGUUAGGAAAGUCACGUUCUUCCCAAGAGGCUGUAGAAAAGAGGGGGUGGGAACCGUGUUCCCUGUUUAGUUGUACAUGGAGUACUGCUUAUUUUAAAUUAGGUGUUAUAAUAUUUUUGCGAUCAACUUGGGCCCACUGCUAAGGUGAUACCUUUUUUGCCAUUGAUUAUAAUAGGGGUUUUUAAACAGCCUGGAUGUUGGAUAGUAAAAUGACCAGAUGCUGAAAUAUUAGAGGGAGAGUUAGAACUAAUCACUAACCCUCUUUGUUCCAUUAUUGGCCCUCAGUUCCCAACCCCAUGACCUUCUUGAUGGGAAAGAACAAGAAAACUAGGCAAAUAGCUGAGUCAGAAGGAAUUAAGUCUGUCUUUCUGGAUGGAGGGAGAGGAAGGAAUACUUCACUCUUUCUGACAUGAACACUGUUCAGUGUUGCAUAGUAGUGUUCAUUGUAAUUUACAAAAAGGCUGGCAGCUGCUGUACUACAUACUGAUUCAAGAGCUAAUCAAGCCUAGUUUUCUUCAUUGUCUCACCCCUUGCGAAGUGUGUGUGUGUGUGUGUGUGUGUGUGCGCAUUUCCAAUCUAUGUCAUAGCACUUUGAUAUCCACUUUCUUCUCAGUCUCUGAACAGGAAGUCUACGAAUUGACAUAGCUGCUAUAGCACUGUAUAUGACUUAUUUGCAUAAUUCUCUAGUUUGUAUUAUAUGUUUAGGCCCAGUUAAAGCAUAAUGCGAAACCCAUUAUUUGCUUUAAUGUCUGAAUCCGAACUUGUUCCAAAAACUGUGCUUUUGAAGCCUGACUAUUCAUGAUUUGAGAUCACUGUUUGAAGGUGGUUUGUUAAAUAUGUUGCACUGUUUUAUUUUGUUCCUCAUGUUCCCCUCUUCCUGUAAAUUUGUCAGUGAACUAAUAUUGUGAAUAUUUCCUCACAAUGUAGGUUAAAUGGAUUUCAGUUAUUUACUCUGCCCUGGCUUCCUUGGAGGAAGGGUUGGAUAAAAAUGUAAUAAAUACAAUAGAGCAUAGGAAAGAAAUGAGUAACUAAUGAAACAAAAUUUGUUUUUAUGAAGAUUUCCACUGGAUGCCUUAUUUGAAAUGCUUCUUUUUUCAUUGUACCCAAAUGUUUAGAACCAUUUCUUUUAAAUUGCAAGGUGACCCUGUAUGUUCUUAAGAAUACUUCACUUUUCUAUCCCACACCACUGCUUGCCUUUCUUUUUAGUUCUAUGCAACCCUUUUAUUUUAACCACUAUUGUAAACCAAGGAAAGAACUAUGGUCAUUUACUGCUUCAUUUCCAUACAAAAUAGCAUUUCAAUAAGCAGGCUGCCACAGCAUGAUUCAAAACUGCAUUGGUUCUUCAAAUACCUGCAAACUGUAUGUUGCAGGCAACUAUAUAAACUGAUCUUUCCUAUUCUAUUAUUUUUCAUUUAAAUUCUUCCAAGGGCAUUUCUUGAUUCUUGGUUUUUUCAGUGGGAUUGAAAUGCUGUCCAUAUCAAUAAAUUGGCCCAGUGGUAGAUCCGUCCAUAAUUUAUGAUAAAGUAAUACUUAAGUCUUUUGAAACAUUUAUGCUGUGCUACUCUGUAAUCUGCCUCUGUUGUAAAAAUAUACAAAUUGCAACUUCAUCUACUAACUUGACAAACGCUCUUCUCUCAGGAUCCCAAGUACUAUGUACUGUUGUAUAAAGAGACAUUAGUGUGGUGAUUACUUUUUUCCUUCUGGUAAGAAGGCUCCUGCCUAAUAUGACAUGUAAUAUAUCUAGUCUCCAUUCCCAAGUUGUGAGUUCUCAAGUGUUCCUGAGCUGGGGCAAUCUCUCAUUGUAAGCUGGCUUCUGUGCAGUUGUUGUGGGAAGGGAAAGGGGGUUUCCUCAGUUGCACUACUGAACCUUUGAUGUUGUAAGAAGCAGGGUGAGGACCUCCUCCAAAGGUCAGUGUGAUAGGAGAGCUCCUCACUCCCAAUUUUUCUGCAUUUACACAAAAUAUGACUGGCUCGUGAGCGGUGGAAUUGGUGGACCCCUGAGGAUGAUCUGAAUGGCUUGUCACACAAGGAGGAUUUGGAUGUAUGCAUUAUUUACUUACUUGCUUGCUCCAUUUAUAUCCCCGUAUUCCUGCAAUAAUACAGUAUAAAGGUGGUGCACGUGGUUCUUCCCUCUCCUUUUAUAAUGACAGCAAUACUGUGAGGUAGGUUAGGCUAAGAGAUAGUGACUGGCCCAAGCUUUGUGGCUGUUUGAGGGUUUGAAUCCUGAUCUCUAGGUCCUAGUCCGACACACUAAUCACUACACCAUAUUGGCUGAAGUAGACUCCUGUCUGGAGCCUGUUACAACUACAAGAAGUAAGUUUGCAUUGUAUCACUAGAGGCUGCUGCCCCUGUUAACAUUGCUCGCCAACACUGCCUACCUGCCAAACUCCCAACCUGCUGCCAGCCCCUUCUGUCCCUUAGUUUGCCCCCAAACCCAUCUUCUCACAACUUAUUCCAAACCCCCGCAUUACCCUGCUGCUGCAUUAUAAAAUGCAGGCUUCCUUUUCUCACUGUUUGGUGUGGGGGGGGGGGAGAUGCUGGUGGACAAAGGGGCAAAGACUUUCUCCCCUUCAUGGCUUCCUUCUCUCAUCUUUAUUGUCAGUGGUGGGUGGGUCUGUCUUCUCUUCAUUCUCUUGGUAGCAAUGACAUGGGGAGCAUGGGAGGACCAGCCUGGGCCAGCCUCCUGCAUGCUCACUCCACUUCAACAAGCACACUCAGUUGUCAGCAUGGCGAUGGAUGGCUGCAAAUAUGGAGAGAUGUCUAAGGCCUUAUUUACACAAAUGAGUUUCAUCUCUACAUGACUGUUGAUAAAAUUUAGUGUUUAGGGACAGCUAUAGUCAUUACUGUGACCAGUGGCUUGAAAAAAGGCACCCAUGAUGAGAGAAACACAACUUGUUUACACCCGAAUCAUAUACUGGGUAUAUGAUGGUGUAGUGUUCGACCCAUGGAAAAACUUCCAGUCUGCUGAGCUAUGUAGCAUAUGAAGGUCCUGUCUUCUCCUCCUUAGCAAAUAAAUACUGUUAAAUAAAAAAGUUAAUUGACUUGUAAGCAAGAAAUCUGUGUACUAUUUAAUCUUUGAGGAAUUACCCAAUUAACAUGUUCCCAAAAGUCUGCCCUAAUGUAUUGCUCAGCUAGCAAUAUUUUUAGCAAACUCGGUCUCCAAGGCAUUGCAUCCAAAUCUUUCUCUUUAGUAAUUCUUUCAGCAAAACCUUGCUUGGUUCAAUGCAAUUAAAAUAAUUCACAGCACUGUUCUAGGCUCUUGCUCACAGGUUCCUGCUUUUUUUCUCAUGAGGCGGAAUUUAGCUUUGAAUCUGCUUAUGUAACAUUGAGGGACAUAGACAGUGGGGUCUCUAACACAUUUAUUAUUUAUUAACAGCAGUUGUAUGCUGCCCAUAACAUAAAAGUUCUUGGAGCAUGGUGCAAUAAAUAAGUAUAAAGACACUUUAAAUACAAGAUAAAACAAAAUCAUAAAAUAGGAAUACGAAUACAGAGAAGAAAACAAAACUCAUCACAACUCCGAAAUAAAAACACACUUAUAAAAAUUGAGAGAAUGAAAUUGCACGAGAUAUUUAAAACCGUGAGUGACCCACAAGGUAUCACCCGUAGCCAAAAAGACCACAAGGGUGGUGCCAGGGGAACCUUUCUAGGAAAGCUGUUCCCUAAUUUGGUGCAGGGAGGGAGGCAUGCUACUGGAAUGGCCCUCUCCCUAGUGCAGCAGUUAUCAACCUGUGGGUCCCCAGAUGUUGUUGGACUACAACCCCCAUCAUCCCUGAGCUCUGGCCUUGCUAGCUAGGGGUGAUGGGAGUUGUAGUCCAACAACAUCUGGGGACCCACAGGUUGAGAAAGGCUGCCCUAGUGAUUACCCACUCUACUUCAUUUGGCAGGGAUACAUGGAGCAUGGCAACCGAAAAGUAUCUUAAAGUUUGGGAAGGUACAUACAAGAAAAGGUGUCUAGCACAGUGUUGGGCAAACUUGGCCCUCCAGCUGUUUUGGGAUUACAGUUCCCAUCAUCCCUGUCCAGUGGUCCUGUUAGCUAGGAAUGAUGGGAGUUGUAGCCCCAAAACAGCUGCAGAGCCAGGUUUGGCCACCACUGGCCUAGCACGUCUGACAAUAUCUCUGGGAUAGAAAAAAUAUCCAUUCCUGCUGUGUACUUAUUAAAUGCAUUGCAGGUUUAAUGACACACUGGGAUGGGGAAAGAGCAUAGAGAAAGACUUGUUUUGAGCAUCAUAGCAAAGGGGAAUAAAGAGCUUUUGCUGUUUACCAUCAAGAUCAGAAUAUGAUUCAUCUGUUCCUGCAUCAGCUGGGACUCAGGAGUGGCUCCACACUUCCUUUUUCUCUUUUAAAAAGGGCUCAUUCUAAUGCUACUACUUCCUAGGGCGGAGGAUGCCAUGCUCUUUUCCGCUUACUAAUGAAUAAUGAAUGAAUUGUUCUGCUAUUGAGGCAUUUUUUGAAGUAUCAAUUAUGAAGGUGCUGUGAAUAAACAGUAUACUGUCGAUGUCCUUUUUAGGGCGUUUUCAUUCUUUGUUUUGAAGAAAACUGUUGUUGUGGGCAUCCAUCUGUCUUGGGAAACAAUAGAGGAGUUGUCUUUGCAGGGGAAGUCAAACCAUUGGAGAGCUACAGUGCCUACUGUGACUGUAGGGACUGAUAGGGAAAGACAUGUUUUGUUGCAGCUGGGGCAGCUGAAGGCAUCCAGUUGUGCUGCUGCAGAUGCAGCAUGGCGUCUCUUCUCUCUGUGCUCCUCCCAGUGGUUGUUUCUCCUCUGGUCACUGCUGUGGAUUCGCGACCUGUCUGUCUGUCUUCAGGCACUGCGGUUGUCUGUAAGGGAUUGCCUCACGAUGGGGCUGAUGUUGCCAUCCUUCAUAUGAUGUUUGCAGACACCUUUGUAACACAGAGUUGGUCUGCCAGUGGGCCUGGUGCCUAAAUCCAGUUCCCAGUAGAGCACAGUCUUGGGCACCCUGCCAUUUUCCACUCUGUGGACAUUACCAAGUCAGCAUAGAUGUUGCUGAGACAGGAGUGUGAACAUGCUGGGAAUGUGGGCUUGGGAUAGCACAUCUUUGUUUGAACAGAAUAGUCAUGUACAAAUAAAUUGAUUGUGAUUUGUACAAAAUUUGGUAAUGUGAGAAGACUAAAGGAUGCAACUUGUAACAAAACUGGAAAGGUGAACUUUCAGAUUAUGUUCACGUUGAGCUGAGUACACAAUAUAGUAUGCAUGUUGAGACUUGCUUUCGUUGGCUUGGUUUAUAUGUAAUGGUAAAUGAGAGUCAAACAAACAAUGACUUUCCGGGAAUGAGCAAGUAUGCUGGUAUACACUGCUCAAAUCAUUCCCACUUGGGCCCAUCUUCCUCCUCUGACUGUGUUGGAAGGAAACAAACUGGAGUCCUGACCACCUGUUUUAGCUGGUGGUAAUGGGGUGUACUGUACUCAUGGGGUACCCAAGUAAAUUUGCCAGCAGCAAUCCAAGCAGGAUCCGGGGCUGUUCCAAGGUCAGAGUGCAUAACAAAGAGUGAGGUGAGAGGCAAAGCCAGAGCAUUCCAUGGUCAAGUUCAGCAUAGGCAGGAGACAUGAGAGCAAAUAGAACACAGAACAGGUGCAUAAAUAUGGUUCCAGCAGGUCUUCGGGCCCACAUGGGGGGUUUUGAGCUGGAGUUGCUGGAACCUCACUCAACCUCAGCUGAUUUCUGUCAGCUCCUUUCUCUCUGGAGGCCUUCUUGAGAGGAGGGUCUUACUUCUGAAGAGACCAUUGCUCCUGAGGAAUCCGCACCUAUAGUUGGAAACUGCUUGAGAUGGGCCAGUUUUCCUUUGGACUUGGGACCCAUUCAGCCUUGGUGUCAGAGCCUGAACAACUUCUGGUUGCAGACAGCCCCUCCCCAGGCUCACUGCAGGAUCCUUACCCUCAUAUGGAGCCUGACUUAUGACUCCCUCCUCUAAUGAGAACUUCCCUGGCUAAGGGGAGAGGGGGACAUUCAUUUCAACAGGUCUACUGUUGAGUAAAACAUACUUGGAUACUGCCCAUGAAUACUGCUUUGUUGCCCCCUGAUGUGGCAAGUGGGGAACAGGCAGCAUUUAAGCAAUGUGCACCAGCACGCUUGCUUGUCCCAAGCAAAUAAUUGUUUAACUCUGGCUUACUGUCUCAUGCAAACCAGGCCAUUUAGUGAGCUCUUCCCAGUAGAAGCCUAUCCCUCCUCUGCCCUGUUCACAUUUCUAUGUGUUAGGGCUGCAUGUAUGUUGUAUUAACAAAAAUAAAGUAUGUACAUCAAAUGUUAGAAUGUGAUUUUGCUGGUUUUCUUUUGUUGCUAACUGUGUAAAGGGAGGAGAAGCCCUCCAGGACCUGCCCACAUGUACGUUAACAUCACAGAAAUUAGAUCAAUCUAAUUCAGCAUCCUGUUUUCCAUAGUGGCCAACCAGGUGUCUGUAAGAAACCCACAAGCAGGACAUGAAGGCAGUUUUCUUUUCUUGCUGUUAUUCUCCAGCAAGUUGUUUUCAUACACAUUCUUCCAGUCCUGGAUGUAGUAGCAAUAAGGAUUAGGAACUUAAUUUAAAAACAACAACAGCAACGAAAUCUGAGUUCCUCAGCAUGCUGAAUUCUGUAUGUAUCCUAUACCUGAUUGUGUGCUUGCACAGCGUUGUUGCAGAAUGUGCAUGAUAUAGAUAUUAGUUACGAUGUUCUUUCAAUAGAUUAUGCUGUAUUAUAGGAGAUAAGGACAAUAAAAGCAGUAUUAGAUCAAACUCUGUCCACCAUCAAGCACAUAUGAAGAGUAGCAAAAGUGUUGGAAAAGUUUUAUCUGCAUAGCUAUGUUUGGAGAAAAACUUUGUAGACAAGAUCUUGAUGGGGCAUUCUUUCCCCAUCUUUCAUCAUGUGUGAUUUUUUAUUGUGUCAAUCGAAAUGCAGGAAAUCUAACUGAAAAUCCUUCAGAUAUGAAUUUCUUGAUCAAUCAAAUGUUUUAUUACUGAUUCACAGGCACUGCUGCUGCUGCUAUGAGGUUAAGUUUGCUGUGAAAGAGGAGGGGAUGGUGGUAGGGAGAGCUUUCUAACUUGACAAACAUUUCAAAAAUUUUUAUUAAAAGCCGCAGCCCAUCAAUUGUCAAAGCCAUUGUUCAGCUAUACAUGCUAACAGAGUAAAUCAUUAAAUAUGAUUCAGCAUUUUAGCUUUCUUGUUUGAUAUAUAACUAUUACACAACUUACUGUUUCGAAUUCUUGAUAGUUUUGUUUUGUACUAUUCUGAAUUGGAUUUCCCCCCCCCCCCGCCCCAAAAGGAUCAUGUUUAGUAGAAUAAUGAAUCCUAGUAAAUGUGAUCCUUGCUGGAGACAUGCAAGCAAUAUUACAGAUAGCUUUGGUACUCGUCUAGUGUUUCAGAAAGACAUCAUCGGCUGAAGCAGAAGCUAAAAUUCAUUCCUUUUAAAUUAUUUAUUUAAUGUCCUUUGAGGUGGGGCUGGCUCCAGGUGGUAGCAAUGUCAGGCAUUUGCCACAGCCACAGUACUGGCUAUGGCUGACGCCUCAAUGGCAUUGCAAUUCUCAGUUCGCACAGAGCACACAGGCAGCUGGAGAGAGUUUUUUGCAAUUCAUAUUUUCCAGGUUCAGAGCGCCUUGCUUGAGGGCUGCUAGAAUUCUGGAGCUCGCAUUGCUUGGAGUGCUUUCACAGAACGAGCAAUAAAGUGUGAGAAGGCAAAGUUCUUACAGUAAAAAUACCCAGUGCACAACUUCCUUUGUUUAAAAAAUGGUGCAUUUAUUUGGAUUGUAUAAGUUAAGAGUUUACCAGGUACUGGUAAUUUUAGAUUAAUGAGGUAUGAGCAUAUGGCUGCAGGCUUAAAAAAUAGUAAAUUAGAAACAGCAUUGUCUUGCUUCGUUUUACACAGUGUGUGUGUGUGUGUGUGUGUGUGUGUGUGUGUAGAGUGGGGACUUCCUGUUUUGUUAUGUGAGUUACUGAUCCUCCUAACUUCACAAUCCAAUAAUGUGGUAUAUUUUAAUAUCAUUUGCAAUGAAGUAAUAUCAAAACCUGCAAUAGUAUUAACUGUUUCCCUCAUGUAUAUGAUUUUGCGUGCAUUGGGAACCAAUUUUUCUUUUGUGUAUGUAUGUAUGUAUGUAUGUACUAAUCUGCACAUAUUGGAAGGGCAGAGAAGUUGGAGAGUGAGGUUACUAUUAGGGCUCUAAUAGCUGGCAAUUUAUUUUUUGCAAGGUUAUCUGUAGAUCUGUCUUCCACCAGCAAUUCUUUUUUGUUCUAAUCUUAAAGCUAUAGGGAGAGUUCUGGAGGAGGGGGGGGGGAAUCAUACCUGAAAGCCAUAAGAAGGGAUUAUAAGGUGAAGGAGAGGGUUAAACGCUGGAAAAUAAGAGUCAACAACCUGCUGGGUGACUGUAUCUUCCCCUGGAUCAGUGAAUUGAGAGAAACAAAGGGCCAAAUUAGGUGAGAUAAGGGAGACCUGUGAUAGAAUAUCUCGAUGUUUCUUUUAUAUAUACUGUAUGUAUAAAAUGCAGCUGGGGGCAUGCAUUGAAUCAGGACCACACUGAUAGGUUUUUGUUUUAAUUCCAUACUAUGCUAUUUUCCUAAGUGAAAUUCCUCUACUAAAGAUAUUUUCCCCAACUGGGAAAAAACAGCUUCCAGGGGAGGUGCAAUUUAGAUCAGGAAAAGGGUUAACCCUCUUUCUCCAACAUUGUGCCCUUGAUCCAAUGUUGGGCCCCUUUAAGCAAAAGGAAACUUAAGAGAUCUGAUCAUAGAGCUCCCUUUCCCCCCCAUCAGCUCUUAGACAACACAAUCAAUUAGCUCCUCCCUUCUGUAAGAACACAGGGGGAAAUGACUUGGGAGAAGCCAUGUAAGCACACCUACUGGCACAACUGACCACAGCAGCUUAGCAACUUGGGUUUUAAUGCUGCUCCUUCACUAUGUGGUGUAGGAGGGAGAACAUUGCUUUCUUUUCUCUCUCCCUGGCACCAGACCUAAUUAUAUGGUUGCCACUGGCGACCAGGGUACUGCAACUUUGCAUCUCUAAAGAUUGGGUGGGAUUAAUGGGCUGUUGGCAGGCAAAUUGCAUUCUAUAAAGUUUGGGGACUGCAGCAGGGGUGGCAGCAGAGGUACAUAAGAGUUGCAAAUCGCAUACGUUUUGCUCCAGAUGACUGCAGAUUUCACUCACUAUGCUGCCUCAAAUUCUAAAAAUGAUUUUAUGCUAGGCUAGAUGCUAGGAACUGAUAAAAUAAAAGUUGAGAUUGCCAGUAUUCAGUUGAAUGCAACAAAUUUUGUAUUUCAAGCUAGUUAAAACAAUUUUCAGUAUAUCUCCCAUACUAUAGUUUACAAGCUCUGUCUAACAUGAACUUUUCUUAGACCUUAGAUCUAUUGAUCUCUCCUGCUUAUAUUAUAUAUGCAGCGGAGAUAUUAGGAAAAAUUAAUAAUAAACAACAUUAAUGCAUUUGUAUUCUUUAAAAUGUGUGCUUCAUACAUGUGGUGUUCUCAUUUUUCUUUGCUUAUUGUCAUUUGGGUAAUAUUUAGUCCAUUAUUGUCCAAGCAGUUUAGCAUUAAUUAUGCUAUUAAUAUAUGAAAGAAUGUCAAAUGUAUUGGUAAAAUUGGCUGUGUUACUUCCAGUUCUUACUUUUAUCCUGUAAUCACAAUUUGGGGGGAAAGAGAAAACAUGAUUGAGAUCUUUGUAAUCUGCAUAAACUUUCAGUGCUUGUGAUUGCUAUUCAGGUAUAUAUUCAUCUUUGCUUGUCUUUCUAGAUAGCUAUUAAUUGCAGUUGCCACUGAUGAUACUCCUUCCAUGGAUCUUCUGCCAUGCAUAGGGCUUCAGGGAAGCUGUUUCUACAUGCUUCCAAACUGAUCCAAUGGACUGCUUUUUUCCAAAGCCUUCCAGGGAACUUGGAAGAGGGGUAGGAUUCAGUCGCUAACAUUAGUCAGAGUGAGACAGCUGUGUCAGGAGACAGAGGCUGAGAGUGUGUCAAGGCAUUUGAGAACAGAGUUGUGUAUUCCAUGUGGACUGCCCUGUGUCUCCCUACUCCCCUUAGCUAGCUAGCCUGUUGACUUCAGCUGUGCUUUAGGGUGCUGUCCCAUCACCACUGUUGAAGCAACAGAUGCUUCUGGAACUCAUUUUGGGGGGAUGUUUGCGUGGAGGUAUUGAGAGGAAAAGGAAGCAUCUUUCUCUUUGUGCUGGGCAAAGGACAGCCAGUCACUGGAGUGCAUUUUCUUUGAUAAUUUAUUUUCUUGCAGCUUGAUUCUAGUAACCUCACUAGGCAUGCUGUUAAUGUUUGGAUGGAGUUCUAUCAGACUGCAACAAAAGGAUAGGUGGGACUGUAGGGGCACUCCAUCAGCUCUGCUGAGAGACCAGCUUGCACCAGAUUCCUCUUCUCCCUCAAUAGUUAUCUAGAGAAGGGAAGGGAAGCAGGGUGACCACUGACUGCUGAGAAACCAGCUACAUUUGGCUCUUUCCCUAAACUAUUUCCACUUAAGCUGAUCAUGAUAAAAUCUUUUGUAACUUCAAGAACUGGUGUCUGAGUUUACUAGAUUUCCUCUUCCCUCCUUAACCUGCUUUUCUUUUGUGCCAUGGCUUCUACCUUGAAACCCUAAGGGCAGAAAUUAUAUUGUCUGCUCCUGACAAACUGUUUUUGGGAUCCUUUUCUGCUGAAGAGGCAAUGCCUUAAAUUAAUUAGAUGUAUCAACUAACUAAAAUGUCAACCUUUACAAACCACAUGGCCUCCGAGUGAAAGCAGCAUAGUGUUGCUUUCCCCAGAGGUGUAAUCUUGUUUGCCACCCUGUGGUCCUUUGAGAGCAAGGCUGGGUUAGGAAUGUAAUUAAAUAAAUCUCAUUUCCAGAGCCAAGGAGCCACAACAGAGAAGUUCCUUGAUUAUCAUCAAUAUCUGCACCUUUGCCUCCUUUGCAGACAUUAAGAACCAGUACAGAACAACAUAAAAUGUACCUUAACUUUCUGCCAGUUUUAUGGGAAGAUGGCAAAAGUCCCAUUUCAGAUGCAGUAAAGACAUUUGAAGACAGCAGAAGAAGAUACCAGGAUUGGUUGCAAGAUUAGUAGUGUUGUCUCAAGCCAUGCUCUGUGAGAGGUAGAAGUGUUAAAACUAUGACAUUUUGCAACCUUUUCUUUCUAAGAUUAGUUCUCUCUGGUUCUAUCUGGUGCUAUUUGCAUUUUUCAUUAACGCCCAAGGAUUAAUAUUCUCUGUACUAGAUUAUAUAGACUAUUAAGAGGUGUAAAAAACCUUAAUGUUUAAGCUGUCCACCUUAUUUGUAGAUACCGGUACUUCAUAGUGAAAAGACUCAAGGUUCCAUGGGUGUAAUUAGUUGUUGGUGGUUGACAGAUAUGUGGUGGAUGUUGCUUUGAGUAUGUGGGAUGGCAGUAAAUGGCAAAUUAUUGGCUGCUGUGAUCACUAUAUAGGCAUUAAAUGUAUUUUCAUUUUUGUAAGAAUGUAGUUUGGGAAGUUGUGCAAUUAGUGUAUGGAUAUGCUAGCUGCUGCUCUGAAUUUAUAAUGAAACAGCAGCAAUCAAGGCAAGAGGAUACUUUCUCAGGGUGAUAGCCAACUAAGGCAUCCUUACGUCCAUUGAUUUUAGUGGGUCUACUUUGAUUAUUAUCAUUUCCGGAACCUUUCGAAAACCAGGGUGCAGCCUCUGAUUGGCUGCAGGAGCUUCCUGCACUCAAUCGGAAGCUGCAUCAGACGUUUGGCUUCCGGAAAACGUUUGCAAGCCAGAACACUUACUUCCAGGUUUGCGGUGUUUGGGAGCCGAUUUGUUCAGGAGCCAAGCCGUUUGACAACCAAGGUGCCACUGUAGCUCUUGAUAUACUUUGUAGGAGCAAACCCCAUUGAACACAGUGUAAUUUACUUCUGAGUAAACAUGUGGAGGAUGGUGCUCUUUUGAUGACUAUUCCAGAUUAAACAACAUUUUAUUUCCUUGCCUCAGGAAUCUAUAAUCCCUUGACUUUCAGGAUGAACCCCACUCCCAUUUUUGCGGAAUUUCCUCCUUUAGUGCCUGAAAAUUCAGUUGAGGUGGUUAUUCUAUCCUUUUAUUAUUAAUGAAGUUAUUAAAUGAAUCUGAGUAGGUUCUUGUCACCAUUGUCACCCUGCCCCCAUUUGACAAAAGCAGCAGUCUCUCUUAUCCAUCAGCUCCUCUUUUGACUGUACAGUGAGACCUAAUGAUAACUGUGCAAACUAUCCUCAGUUUUGUUUGAAUAGUAUGUCUGUCCCCCUAAAUUCUGUAUGAGAUAAACGUUGCCCUACAGUUAGGUCUGCUUAUCAAAGGAUUGAAAGUAGGAGCUGUUUUUUUUGCUAACUGGAUGCAUUUCAGCUAAAAAUAGAAGUUACUUCCAAAAUUAUUACUGUCUCACCGUUUGUGUUUGCAGAGAUUUCAGUAGAAUGCUGGAAAUUAAACUAGCUAAUAGCUGCACAUGCAAGCAGAUUUGUUCCCCUAAUAAGAAAAGCACAACUAAAAUAAGGGACUAGAGAAACUCCUGUUAGGAAAGAUUGCAACUUUGGGGGCUUAGAGGAGUUUAAUAUUAUGCAUGGUGUGGAGAAAAUUAACAGAUUUCCCCUCCUUCUCAUUCUCAAAAUACUAGAACUCAUUGUCAUCCCGUGAUACUAAGUGGUAGAAGAUUUAGGACAGACGGGAGGGAGUUGUCUAUGUGUCAUACUGUGUCAUAGAGAAGAAUAAGUUGGAAUUACUUGCCAUAAGGUGUGCCAAUGUACACCAAUUUAGAUUGCUUUAAUGGGGGACUAGACAAAGUUAUGGAGGAUAAGGCUAUCUAUACGGUCAUAGAAUAUGAGUGGCUGGGGAACAACAGCUGUUGUGCCUUGGUUCUGUUUGUGGGCUUCCCAUUGGCCCCUGAGGUAAACAGGAUGCUGGGCAAGAUGGGUCUUCUGCCUCCUUCACUAGGGUUCCUCCUACAGGUGCUUGAUCCAUUUUUUGUGGUAAUCAUUCCCAUGUAUUUUGCAGUACUGAUAAAAUAAUACCAGAAAAAAUGAGUUGAUUCAUCUUUUACAAAUCCACAAAGUCAGCUGCUUUAACAGGUCAGGCAAGCCUGCUCAGGUCAAGCAAGACUGUGGUGUAAUCGUGGCAGCUCAAUAAAUGGAUAUAGAUAACUCAAGUGCUAUUUAAAAAGGAGAAUCAUGCAUGGUGUUGAUCUGUGUGUGUUAUGCAAACACUGGUGGGAUCCUGGCAGAAAUGAUGUUGGUGCAAGUAAUAGUGCUCAUGCGAAACAGGGACAUUCCUCUGUUGCUUUGGCACAACCUCCUUUUUCCGUAGGCUUGGCUGCAAAAAUUUCAUUUGACAUAACCAAGUUCAUGUGCCAGGGAGGACUGUAUAGCGGUUUAGUGUAUUUAUGCCCUCUUAAAGAAUAGCUAAUCGGCUAUGGUAAAAUUUCCUUACCAGUUAACUUUGUGGGUCAUUGUUUUCCAGAAGUUUACAUUAGAAAUUGCUGAUGAAAGCAUACUAAUAGUUUCACUUGCAUGGAGCAAUGAUAACAGCUCUGACAGGCAAAAGGAUUAGUACUUUAUUAAUACUGCAUUGAGUCUGCUAAGGCUUUUUUCUUUUUUUGAUGCUACACUAAGCAUACACACUGUGUAGAGUACACUGACUUUACAUUUGGAUAGGCUUCUGCAGAGUUUCAUUUUUUCCUUCUAGAUGACUGCUCUCUCCUGCUUUGAAGUAGAAUCAUUCUCACUUCAAAUUUCCGGCGUUACCUUUCUGGAUUUGUCUUUGGAGAGAAAUUAAUAAAAGAGAAGAUGACUGCAGCUUAGUUUGUAGUAUUUGGCAUAGCGUUAGGAUCCAAAACACAUUUAGUGUUAGAGAAAAGAGAAAUGAUGGUGCUGUCCUUUUGUUAGAGGAAAACAUAUUACAGAUAUUAAAGAUAAAACAACAGAUUUACCCCCUGGUAGAGAAAGUAAUAUGGAAGAUAAUAAAGCAGCCUAGCACAUUGAUAGGCUGAAACUACAAGCUAUAAUGUGGAAUCUCUCUAAAGCUUUUUGGGUUUGUAUUAUAAAGUGGAACAUACUUGUGUGUGCACAUGCCCACGUUAUCUAUAUAGUAAAAUACUCUUUCCUUAUAUUUACUCUUUAAAUAUUUUUAUCUUCCAGAAGCCCCUCCCCCCACCUCCAGUCUCCUGCUUAUCUGUUCCCUUAUGAAUGAAAACAAAGAAAAUCCUGAGUAUCUGUUUAAGCAGCUCAGCGUCAUUCUCUUUAUUCCCAUUGCUGUUGCCAUAGCCACCCUCUAGUUGAGCUUUAUACUGUCAACUUUGCAGGGAGAGAUGUCAUCAAACCUUCAUGCAUUUUAAAUAUAACUGCAGAUACCACACAGCAGCAAAUCAGCCUCUUAUUAGAAAUCCUUUCCCUCUACAAAAUUCUGCACCUUAUUUAAUUUGUUCCCUGCAGAACAGAGAACAAACUUGCAUUACUUUAAUGCUUAAACAGAUGAUUAUAAUACAGUGGCAUAUAUGCAUGAUUAAAGCUAAAAUGCAGUACUCUGCUGGCAUUCAUUUGCAACAAAAUUGUUUGGAGAUGACUGUAGUAAGGUGUGUGAAUAUUAGUGAUUAUUAAUCAAUGAUAUUGAGUUCUCUUGGCAGGAAAGGGGACAAUUUGUUUCUGAACACUUACACAUCCUUUAUGAAAGCUGUAUGUGAAUCUGAGGUGCAAAAUAGUUUAAAUAUAAGAAGAGAUACUAUAUUAAAUUUAUUAUAAUUGUUUUAAUUCACCUUGUUGCUUUGUCCAGGGCUUCAGUGUUUAUUGUUGUGGUCUUUUUAUUAAGCUGUAUUUUGAUGCGCACUGUACACAAUGCUUUGUAUGCAGGAAUUUGUAUUCUAUACGUGAUACUCUUUUUUAGAACUUCUGUUUGUAUACAAGAUAAGGUGGAUCAGGGAUCCUUUACCCAAUUUUCUUUGACCUUUUCAAAAUGGCCCAGCAAAACAAAUAGCAUGUGUUGUGUGUACAGAAAAAUGCUUAAGUAGCAUUAAAACCAGCCUAUUAUUCUAAUGUUCCUGCUCUAAAUACUUACAGUGUACCCUAUAGGAGUCCUGUAGGAGCUUUUUAAAUACAGCUAUUGCAGGCAGUUUGUGUCAAUAUUAUAAUCUGGAAACCCAUGCAGAUGUUUUGUGAUUAGUCUUCUGACAAUAAACUUUAACAUGAAGAUUUGGAAAAGAAUUCAGGGUCUUGCAUACCUACAUUCCAGGUUGGUUUAAGAAUAACCCUGUUUCUAGGAAACUUGUGAUAUGUCUUUGAUGGUUAAUGAGUGAGAUGGAGAGAAGGCUCUCUUAACAGAAUUUUUAUCAUCCCACCAGUUAAACUGGUACACUACAUUUAUAGUGUAGAUGCCCUUUAAGUAUCUUUUCCUAGCUCAGGAACUCUAAUGCCAGAACAGACAGGAAAUAAAUAUUUAAUUAUCCUGAAUACGUUGAAAGAAUUUUUGGCUUUUGCUAAUGAUGAACUCGUAUAUUUUCUCUCACUUCUUGAAAAUUGAAAACUGGGCUGUUUGAAGCAUAUAUUUCUUGGUGCUUUCACCUGGUGUGCUUUGUGUGAAAAGGGUGGGGUGGGAAAUCUGAUGCUUAUUGAAGCAAAUUGCAUUUCUGAGGGGGAAAUGAAUAAUUUUGCACUAAAAAACAAACUCAUAAAGCCUAUGUUGCAAAAGUAAACCCGAUAUUAUGAUGAGACUUCACUGUGUUUGGUUUCUAAUAACAUCUUUGCUCAACAGCAGGGAUGAUAUGCCACUUCUUUAAUUACUUUUAAAAUGCCGAUUAUAAGGUGUAUGUAUUAGUGAUUAUCUGCUGCUGUUGCAGGUCAAUAAGUGCCCUAUUUCAAUUUAUUCUAAAUUGAUUCUUUACAGACUUAAGGAAAAUUGUAAUAAGGCCUCAGUCUCCAAUAAUGAUGUCCACCCCAGGGUGGUUUAUCUAUAAUUAACUAUUGGUAGUCAGUUUAGUUAGAGCAAUGCUAAAGCUGUUUAGCCAUCCCUGCACGAGUUCCCAUGCUGUUGGAGAUGAGAACACUUUUAUUAGCUGCACACCGGGUGGUAUAUGACUUAAAGAUCAUUGGAAAGCCAGUGACAUUUUCAAAAAAUUCAUUUCCUGCUAGGAUAAGGGAAGGAGGGAAAAGAGUCCAGCUGCCCCUUUAAAAGAACUAGCUUCCCCCACUGGGAAGGGAAAACACCAACAUCACAGUGCUAGGACCUGGCCUCUGGGACCAAGAUCAGGAGGCAGAUGGUAGCACCUGUGCCGAGCUUGGGUCAAGGCCACACACUGUCCGCAUGAAUUGCUGACCUCCUGUUUUUGAAAACGAGUGAAACUUUACAACCAAAGACCAUAAGAUAUGGCCAAUGUAUAUGGAAUGUCAUAUUGGAACAUCAGUUUUCAGCUGACAAAAUGCUGGUUACUGCAGCACUCUGAAAAGCAUAGCCACAGUGCCACAAACGGAGCAGGAGAGGUCAAGUGCUCUCAGUGCCAGAGGACAGCACAACAUGGUGAAGCAGAAUUAUGCCCAGGUUUUAAGCAGAGUUCAUGGAUAUGUUGCACCUUUGAGUGGGAUACAGUGGUGAAAUAUGACCUGAGGGAAAAGGCAGUGGGAAUACACUUUAGCAAAUUAUUUUUUAAACUGCUUUGCAGUAAUUAAAAUACGAGAAUGUAGCUUUUGGGGGGGGGGCUUGAGAGUCAGUAGAAAGGGGUUGUGAACUGGCUUUGGCCAUAUUUAUACACAUACAUAUUCAAUAAUUUGGGGGCAUAAAGAAAUAUGGGGCAUUUUUUAUAGCACACCCCUAUUUUGUUAGAAUUAAAUUCAGAGGCAUUAAUCUUUAAGGUGCUUUUGAUUGCCCUACCCACCCUGAGCCUUAGGGGAGUACACUUAGCUUUAAUAUAUAAAAGAAUGCAGCCUACUUCUGACUAGAUAAUCAUUACUCAGUUUAAAACUGAUGGAAAUAUGAAGGCUUUCUGGAAGAAAUGCUGUAGAUGUGACAUGCCACCAUGUAUAUCCAUGGGCAAACUAAGUUUUAAAUUGGUGUUUUGGCUAAAAUUAAUUUUGUGAUGCACAAACUCUAGACUUUAUUUGAUUGGAUAAGUGAUCAUUAAGGGCAUGGCUGUACAAACCUGGUAAUUAAAAAACAAGCACAGGGAAGAGUUCAUGACUUGGUUUAAUCUGAGUGAUGAAGGCAGGUACUGGAAGAGACAUGAGAGGACUUGUGGAUUAUAAUAGCCUCAGCUAAACAUGUGAAUGCAAGCCUUCGCCUGUCUCUUGUGUCUGGCUAGCUUUUAGGCAGCAGAACACAGGAAUCUCAAAUAGGUCCUGGAAAUCAGGCUCUUGAAACUUGCCCCAGCAUCAUGGCUUGGGUGAAGACUGCCCCCCUGAGGUCUGACAGAAUUUACGUUUUAAUUUAUUUUAUUAAUAUUUUUGAAACAGGUGUUCAAGCUUGCUGUUUCUUUACAGGAGUUUUAAAACCUGAUGGUUGUUAAGAAUGAUCUCUCUCUCUCUCUCUCUCUCUCUCUCUCUCUCUGUGUGUGUGUGCCUCAUUCAAUAUUUCUGCCUUUUGAACUGUGUCCACAUCUAGCACAUGAGACAACAGUAUACAGUUAAUGGUGUUUAUACCCACAACAGGAGAACUGGGCAGAAGCAGUGGGAGAAACAUGCAUUGCUGGGUGAGAACAGGUUGCAGUUUAUUGGCGCCUAAGAGAGAAAAGACCCAAACAUUCUAGUACUAAAGCCCAGUUCCAUUAUCAGGCAGUUGCUGAUGACCUGGCAAUGCCUGCUACCACCUUCCUCCUCUUCCCCAAUUGCAGCUUCACUUCCACUUGGUCAGCUAUCCCAUUGGCAUCCCAUCCUUCUCUGACUUUUCAUGUCUGCUGGUGCAGGGAGGUCCCAUCUGUUGAUAUCAGAUGUUUAAAGGAUGGAAUGGUGAGAGGUUGAGAGAGGACCUGGGGCUGCCUGAGGUGUAAACAGCAUGUCAAUAUUUCCUACCCAUAGCUUUUGCUUUUUGGGAUGCAGCCUUUAAUACAUCUGAAUUACUGGAUUAGUUUGGGUGUCCCAGAUAACUCAGAUCACUUAAGGAGCCAAACACUUCAAGGAGGUUGAAUUAGGGCAUUAUAAUAUAGCCAGUGGCUUCCUAGUGAUGCUUAAUCUCUGCCCAGGUUUCUUUGGGCUAAUUGGUUCUACAUUGUUCCUUGGUAUUGGUAACACCAUCUUUAUGCUGAUUGUCUUUCUUCAAAAGGAUCAGUCCUCUGUGGCCAUAGGGAUUGCCAAUACUUCUUAUUAUCUUGCCUUCAGGAUAAUGUGAAAGCCCAGCAGCCAUCACAUAGCAUAGCAUUUCAAGUUCCCUGCUGCUGAAUUGGGACUGGGCUGCGCUUGCUGCGGGACCAGGAAUUUCUGGUGUUAAAUGGGCUUCAGUCACUGUUAACAAAUGUGAGUGAACGUUUGAAGAAUACCUCUGAUUAAACUGAGAUUGUUAAUCAUUAUUAUGCAACACUUCUUCCACUUGAUACCUGUCUCUAUCCAUCAAUUUAUCUGUGUGUGUGUGUGUGUGAGAGAGAGAGAGAGAGAGAGAGAGAGAGAGCGCGUGUGCUAACUAGCUUUUAUCACCUUAACCUUCCAUUUUCUUAGUGUGAUGCACAGAUUUUUCAAGACCAUACAUAUGUGUGUGUGUGUGUGUGUGUGUGUGUGUGUGUGUGUGUGUGUGUGUGUAUGAGAAAGAUGGGGGGGGGAAUAUUGAUUAGUGCUGGUCAGACCAUAGCAACUUCACUCUGCUGCUUACAGAGAAUUUCACUCCACUGUAAAGGGCUGCACUGUGCUAAUCCUCCUUACACUGCAGCACUUGUCACCUACCUGAUAGGUGUUAAAUACUGCAUUUGGAGGGGAUUAUCACCAGCUCCUCUGCUCUGGCAGUGAAAAAGAAAAGAAAGCCGAUGCUUUCUUGCUGUUCUCUCAGGGAGGAGUAACAGGGAAUCCCAAAGGCAUGAUUGUAACAUUUGUGUAAAGCAGUUUGGAAUCCUCAGGGAUAAAAUGAAUUGCAAUAUGAACACAGGGAUUAAUAAUACAUUUUUGGGGUGGCUUUUAGUUUAAAAGCUGUGAGCUGGUGUUUUUCUUAACAUCACUUGCAUUAGUACAAGGGUUUCUCUUGUGACACAGAAGGGGCAUAAAAAUAGCACUUCAUUUGUUUCAGCUGUGGAAUACGUGUGUUAAAACCCUUGAUAUAUGGCUGUAGAAGGCAGCAUUAUUGGCAUAACUGAAAUUCUCCUUUGUGGUGACUUCUCAGUGCUGGUGAUGACUAUUGUGUUUCACAAUCAAGUGGAAGAACAACUUAUUGAUUGGUUGCCUUCUGUUGGUAGCAUGGUAAAUUUCAGAUCCAUUAACCAUCUGCAUUGAAUUACAGACGCUGAGACUAGGGCUGCAAGUGGCAAAAUAUAGGGACUAUUGAGUCCAACUCAGAGCUCUCCAUAUGUUUUGGGACUGCAGCAGCUUGUUGGGGCUGAUGGGAGUUGUAGUGUCUAUAGUUUUACAGUUCUUUUUUUGUGAAGGUAAGGGGUGGGGAGAAAGCAAACAGCAGUCUUUAUUUGUCAUGCUACAGAAGACUAACAGCUAUCUCAGUGUUUCCAUUUUGAUAGAUCUCUGGAAGAUUUGCAGUAGAUCGGCAAGUUUUUCUGACUCUUAAGUUCUUUAAUAACCAACAACUAAAAAGCUGAUCUUCCUCCACCCCAAAUUAUAUUGAUGAAAAAGAAUUAUUGUCUUAGUCAGAAUCAGCUUGUGAGCUUGGUUCUGAUACUGAUCACAAAUUCCUGGGCUAAUUGUGGGCUCAGAGGCACCCCGUUCCUUAAAUUGCAGUCUAUGUCCAUCUGAGCCACUGUUCUGCAUAUGGCCUUGGUUUGUGGAUUUUGGGGUUCUAGUAGAAAUCUUGAAAUCUGACCACCGCUGCUCAAGAAAUCCCACCUUGGUUUAUAUAGCUUGUUACCAGUCUACAAAAAAUGAGUUUUUAAACAUUUUAAAACAUUUUAGUUGAGGUUAAAGCCAGUUAGGUUAGGUUAGGUUAGUGUUCAGCCUGGUUGAUAACUCUCAUGAAGAGGAUAUGGAAGUUUGGGUUAGCUUCUUGCCCAGAGCAUCUUGUGCCUAACAGUAUGCUUCCUGUUUAUCCCCGAGAACAGUAGUGGCUGCUGAAGUGCUGUGUUGAACAUGUGUUGCCUAUUCAGUGAUGAGGAAAACAAGAGUAGUGUAGGCUUCAGGGUGUGUGCUGUCCAUCUGUCCAGCUUUAUUUUCAUGUUGCAUGUUUACAAAAAUGUGAGCUCUUCAGUUCAUUUGUGAAGGUCUGUCUUCUACAAGAAGGCAAAAUGAUACUAAGGAGUGGGAAAUGUAACAAACGUGCCACAAAUGCUUCCAGAUGAUAACCCUCAAAGAACUUUUUUUCACUGAAUGCAUGCACACUCCUGCUAAAACUGAUCCCUUACAUCAAAAAUAGAUCUGCCUUGGACAUGACAGCAACAUACUAAAAGCUCUCUUUAAAUAGUCCAAAUGAUUCAUUCUGCUUUUUGUUUUUUUCAACUGGUUGUUAAGAUUGCUAUAUCCUUUAAGUUUACUACAAAAGUGUGAAAAUAAAUGUGACUAACAGAAGUCAAAUUUAAUCUACUUGUUUAUAAGGUUGUUCUUGGGAUCAAGAGACAAUUAUCAGUGGCCUUCAAUCUUCUUAGCAAGGAAUUCUUAUAAUUUCCAGUGAAGCUGGCAAUAAAAACUUAGCAGCUGUUUAUACAGGAAGAGUGGGCGAUUUAUAAGCCAAUUCUGAAAAUUGGCAGACUUACGGCAUUAAAAGUGAUCUGUUAGAUGUGAAGUGGAAUGUGCAAGGUACCAUAAAUGUACUGCUUAGUAUAUCAGGAUGCUGUUUUAAUGUUUCUCUUCAGUUUUCUCAACAAUCCCAGAUGGUCAGUGCUAGUUCUUUUCAAACAGGAGACUAAGGACUACGUGGCUGAGAUGAUGCAGAAUCAACUUGCCAUAAUAUUAUUAAAAAGCUAUGAGAUAGUUGCACUGUCCCAUUGUUUGCAAAUAGCUUGGGACUAUUUAAUCACAUUUCAUAUCCUGCCUUUCAUCUCAAGGCAGAUGAAUGAGUUCAAGGCAGUGUACAGUACCUGGUUCUUUAACCCACCCCCAAUCUUAUCCUCACAACUACCUGUGAUAUAGGUUAGGCUGAGAGAUAGUCACUUAGUGAGUUUCAUUGCUAGGUUAGACCUUAAAUAAUGUUUGAAGAGGACUGGGCAUCUGGUUGGUUGCUGGACUGGAGGGGCCUUUGGUUUGAGCCAGAAGGCUUUUAUAUACUUCAGCUUCUCUUCCCCCCGCCCACGUCCCUGAACAUCCUGUCAUUUUGCCUGUGUUGCAGUGGCAGCAGCAAAAUCGAUUAAGAAGCCCAAAGCACAUGUAAGCAGUGUUAAGAAUUUCAAAUAAGGGUUGCAAGGGUAAGUGGUUUGGGGACAGCCACGGUGGUGCCCUGCUCCCCUUGCAGCCCAUGCUGGCUUCUUUUCAAGGCACUCCUGCCAGCUGCUAUUCCCUUCUUCUGUGUUUGGUGACUGGCAGUGCUUGAAAUUUUCACUUCAGUCACAGUUCCAUUGUGUGAGAGGAGGGAAGUUGGAGGAGCAAUGCCGGAGCAGCCUCAUCAUUAAAAAAUGUGCAACAAUAAAUCCUGCCCCCACCCCUAAAAAGUUACCAACUCUCUCAUCACCCCCUACUUCUCUCAAGAUAGCUGAUUAUUUAUUUAUUAGAUAUAUAUCCCAUCUUUCCUCCAAGGAGUUAAAGGUGGCAUACAUUGCUUCCCUCACUCCAUAUUAUCCUGUGAGGUUGGUUAGGUUGAGAGACAGUGAUAGGCCCAAGAUCAUCCAGGGAGCUUCAUGGCUGACUGGGGAUUUGAACCCUGGUCACCCAGAUCCUUAGGCUUCUUAAGUGGCUUGUUUAUGCAGCAAAAUGUUAUAUUACUGGCUAUAUAAUUUAGAGAAAUUAAGGAACCAUGUGCAUGUUUUUGUGGUUUGAAUGUAUGUAAGAGAGUGACUGUGAGGUGACUAUACCCACAACUGAAUUUAGCUUUGGACAUGACCCACAUGUGACCCCUUGGAUGGAUGGCCAACAGGGAAUGCAGCAAGACAAACAAACCACAGCAUUGGGUUCACACUUAGUACUGGCUUAGCUCCCAGUAGCAUCUCAGCAGGACCAGGGGAGAGGAGUAAGGUAGCUGUGACUUUUUAAAUGUGCACCACCAUGCUUGCUUUUUCAUUCUAAGCCAUAGUUUGGCUUAGUAGUUGGUGUAAACCAGACCAAUAAGUCAUUUUAGUGUUGGUUCCUUUUUCUAUUGAUGAAACUGAAUUGACCAACUGGGUUCAACCAGUGAAUUCUGGCUUCCAGGUUCUCACAAGGCAUUCAGAAAGCCCAUAGUAUCAAACUCAAGCUUCUGUUAGUGAUUAGGCUUUAGCAGCCAAGGCUGAGGGUGCUAUUCUCUACUAUUCUCCAUACCAUAUAUUAUUACUUUCAGAGUGACAAAGGAGAGCAAAGAUUGCUUUGUUUCUCUCUCAGGGCUGUGUGUUUAUGUGUGAGAAGGGAAAGUGCCUGCCCUGUGUAAUCAUCCCCCUGUCCUUCAUUGCUUUGAUAUCUCUAGUAAGCCUCCUCCCUUUCACCUCCUUCCAUAAGAUGAAGAGCCCUAAUCUUUUAAAUCUUUCCCCAUGUGUAAGUCUCUCCAGGCUUCUAAUCGCUUUUGUCACCUGUCUCUGGACCCUUUCUAUUUCUGCUCUCUCUUUUUAGAGAUAAGGUGACUCGAAAUGAAACUUUAAAAAAUAGAGAUUAUGCUAUUUAUAAACAGUAUUACUGCUGUUUAUGCAGCAUCCUGUAUGAACAGAUGUUUGGAUUGCCAUUCUGCCCUUGCUUCUGGGUGGGUCAGUACAGUAGUAAAAAAUAAAAAUAAAUGAGCUCAUUUCUGUAAAAGGCAAGUGGUGGAAGAAAUUUAAUGGGAAGAAUCUAACAGGCUUUGGAGAAAUCCUAGGGACUAGGAGUAGUCCAGAUAUUGCAGAGUUCCUUAAUUGCUGCCGGAUCAGUAGUAUUAAGAAGACUUCAGUGGCAUUUUAGUAAAACACGAUAGCAUUAUUACCUACUUAAUAUUUUGUAAAUAUGUGAAAUGAACUUUUUGGGUAAGAGGUCAGUCAAGUAUAUAGUUUUGAAAGCAAAAUGUCAACUUUUAGAAAACUAAAAAACUUUCCCACAAUGAUCUAGUUUGCGCACAGGCAUGUAGAGCAGGCUUCCUCAACCUCAGCCCUCCAGAUAUUUUGAGACUACAAUUCCCAUCAUCCCUGACCACUGGUCCUGCUAGCUAGGAUCAUGGGAGUUGUAGGCCAAAAACAUCCGGAGGGCCGAGGUUGAGGAAGCGUGAUGUAGAGGGAGGUGGGUUGCACUGUGAUCUAAACCACCAAGCCUCUUGGGCUUGCCGAUCAGAAGGUUGUCAGUUCAAAUCCGCAUGACAGGGUAAGCUCCCGUUGCUCUGUCCCAGCUUCUGCCAACCUAGCAGUUCGAAAGCAUACCAAUGCAAGUAGAUAAAUAGGUAUCACUGCAGCAGGAAGGUAAAUGACAUUUUCAUGUGCUCUGACUUCCGUCAUGGUCCUCCAUGCAUCAGUAGUGGUUUAGUCAUGCUGGCCACAUGACCUGGAAAGCUGUCUGUAGACAAACACUGGUUCCCUCGGCCUGAAAAAUGAGUUUAGUGCCGCACCUCAUAGUCAUCUUUACCCAUAGGGGCCCUUUACCUUUACUUUACCUUACCUUACCAAGGCAUGUGUCACUGUGCUCAAGUCAGACAUCUUAAAGGACAUGACUGUUGAAUUUUAAAACAAACACCAAACAUGUUUUCAAUGCAAGAAUAAAUGCAGGGAGCGAAAACAAAGCAUGGAAGUAAAACAAGCAGUUUGAUAGAAGUAAAUUUUACUGAGCAUCUGGAAUCUUGCAUUUCUAUUUGAACAAGAAAGGUGAUGGACAGAUGAUUAUUGAUCAAACCUUGGUCCAUUAUCAGUUGUACUUUAGAUUAUGAACCAACAGAGCAACUCAAAACCAAAUACAGCAUUACGCAUUUUAGGACAGAACUCUCCCAGUCAUUAUUCAGCAUCCAUUCAGAGUUGUUUCCCAUAAAACAAAUAAACAAACAAAUAAAAAUUGUGCUUUGCACAAAUUAGGCUGAUUCUUUGGCUAGAACUAUUGCAUAGCAUUCCAUUUUAAAAACAAUUUGCUUAUCCUUGCCAUUCAGUAAGACGGUAACAUUCAGAAAAAGCAAAACAGAAUGUUUGUUGGUACAGAUGAACAGAUUUAUGGUGGCAUUGGCUUUCAUGGAAUAGAGCCCAUUUGGAUUUCAGUUAUGCAUACACAUAUAAGGCACACAUGUGAUACGGAUAAGAAAUUGUAAGGCUGUGGAAUAUGUUAGACUCACUGUGACAUUUUAAGCUAAAAUAUAAAAAGGUAUGCUAAGUUUAUUUUCCAGCUAUAGUCAGAACUUUGGUCUUAAGUCCUAACUGAAUAGAAUCAAGUUUACUAAUAAAUUAUAGUUCAGGAUGAAAGCAUAUGCAAAAAUUAUUCUUGUUGCCUUUGAGAUGCCAAAAGUCUCAUUGCUGUUUUUGCUAUAACAGGUCUGGAAUUUUUAAUCUUGACUAAUACAUACCCAAUAUGGAAUCUGCUCAAUAAAUCUUUACUUACAACUUCAUAGACAGACAUUACAGCAUGUAAUAAAGCAAAUAGUAUUGGCAUCACAAAGACUAUUACAUAGUUUUUGUAUAGUUCCUCUCUGAAGCUUUACAUGGCACAGUUUGGUAGCAUGCAUCAGAAAAUGCCCUCUUGGCAUUACUGUGGCCUAAUUCUUACGAUUUCUCUCCCAGCAGUGUUGCUGUUUGUUUGCAUACAUGAGAGCAAAUCUGGAGGUAUUUAUGAGUUUCAGUUUUUAUUAUUUUGGUUUUUAGUGACACAUUCGCCUAAUAGAAAAGAAAAAUUCAUAGUUAAAACUAUGGCAUUCGCUCCCAUGGGAUGUAGUGGUGGCUACCAAUGUGGGUGGCUUUAAAAGGAGGUCAGGAAAAUUCAUGGAGGAUAUGGCUAUGUUUUACCUCAAGUGUUGUAGGCAGUAAAAGAUUCUCAAAUGGAGAGAGUACUGUUGCACUAGGUCCUGCUUUCAGGCUUACAUAGGCACCUGGUUGUCUACUGUGGGAACAGUAUGCUGGACUAGACAGGCCUUUCUUAUUGAGGUAAAGAGACACAAAAUGAGUUAAGCUUUUUCCUCACUGACUUCUAGUACAAAUAGCAGCACACAAUUCUGCUAACAAUCCCUGCUUUUCACACUGGCUUGGAGCUACGUGGUGGGGCAUGGGAUCAUCAACAACCUCAAAAAGAUGCAGCAAAAAUUUGUAGAUCUCUGUAGAAAAAUCAAAUUCAAAGCAUUGGCUUGCAAAUUUAACAACUACCUUUUUUUCCCAGGAUGAUGAGGAACCAUUAAUGAGUACUCUUUGGGUUCGGUCAGUCAAUCAGGUACAAAUCUACCUCAUUCAACCCACAUUUUACCAGCUUUCUCGUGGGAAUAUUGUGGGGGACUUUGUCAAAAGCCUUACUGAAAUCAAGAUACAUUAUGUCCACAGCAUUUCCCUGAUCCACCAAGUUUGUAAUGCCAUCAAAAAAAUCAGAUUGGUCUGGCAUGACUUAUUUUUGAGAAACCCAUGCUGGGUCUUAGUAAUCACAACUUCCUUUUCUAAAUGCUCACAGACCGACUGCUGAAUUAUCUGUUCUAGGACAUUCCCUGGUAUUGAUGUCAAUCUCACCAGCUGGUAGUUACUUGGGUCUUCCUUUUUCCACUUUUUGAAGAUAGGGACAACAUUUGCCCACCUACAGUCUGUAGGGACCUAACCUGUUCUCCAGGGUUUCUCAAAGAUAAUGGACAAAGUCUUUGAAAUUACAUCCACAAGCUCCUUUAGUACCCUUGGAUGCAGCUCAUCAGGCCCUGGAGAUUUGAAUUCAUUUAAAGUAGCAAGGUGUUUGCUUACUACCUCUUUUCCCAUCUUGGGCUGCAGCUCCCUCCUUACAUCAUUUAUACUGUUAUCACCAGGUUGGGCAUUGUUUUCCUUUUGGAUGAAGACAGAGGCAAAGUAGGUGCUGAGUAGUUCUGCCUUCUCCCUGUCACGCAUUAGCAUUUCCCUGUCUCAUUCACGCAGAAAACCCAACACGUGCUUGAUCUUCCUCUUACUGCAGACAUAGCCAAAGAAACCCUUUUUAUUAUUUAUAAGCUGUCUUGCGAGCCUGAGCUUAUUCUGACCUUUAGCCAGCCUGACUUCCCCCCUGCAACUGUUGGCUGCUUGUGUAUACUCCUCCUUUGUGAUUUCCCCUUUCUUCCAUUUCUUAUACAUGCUCUUCUUAACUCUCAGCUCAUCUGUAAUGUAGCAAAUGUAAAAGAAAAGUCUGAGGUCUUUACAUCAAAUAUGAUUUUUGUCAACAGUUCUUACAGAUCUUGAUGACAGAUAAUCUGUUGGUCUGUACUCAUGGGAGACCCAUCAAUAGGGGAGUAAAACUCCAUAUGAUCUAUUAUCAGUAAGUAAAUAUGGGCAAUGUACGCAGUGUAUACACUUUAAAAUUAAUGGCAAAAUCGACUGAGUUUCUUUUUAGUUAAUCUUUCCUGUUCUUACUCUGUCAUUGGAGCUGUCACACCACUAAUUGUUACUGAAAAUGGCUAUAAGAAAACAGUUUACAAAAAUUAAUGACAAAUUUGUUAGUAAUUUAAAAUUUAUGACAGAUUUGCUAAUAAUUAACAAUACCUUGCCCAUGAGAUGCCCACACAAAUCUCUGAAGUUCCACUGGUGACAGAAAACUUUUCUACUCUUACUGAAAUAAUCCAUGCACAAUAAAUGAAAGAAACUCAUUUUUCCAUCAAUGAAACCCUGCAAUAAAAAGUAAAAACACCUGUAUUUAAAAAUCCUUUAAUUCUGAACACUUACCCAUAUUUAGAAUGUAUGGUUAUUGAUCAGUUAAUAAAUAAAUAAUCUGUGUUGCGCUUUGAAAAUUCUAAAUAGAAACCUUGAAAAUACUUUAAUCUUUAUUGAUUAUUCAUUGUACAUAUAUAUUUUUAGUGAUUGUUAUUUUUAUUGGGUUCUGUUUGCUUUUUUAUUCUUCUGGAUUUCUGUUAUCCAGUUAGGUUUGCAUCAGCAACUUGUUUCAUGUCCCUUUUCCAAUUCAACUUGCCUCAUUAAUUAAUCUUCACAAGUUUCCUGUUUGUAGUUCUUAGAGGUUUGAAUAAAAUAAGUUAAAGAGAAGUGUGUUGGUUCUAAAAAACAAUCCCAAAAGGAUAAAAUUAAAGGGACAAAGCUGACACAUGUUUAAUGUUUCGUUUGCUACUUAAUGUAUGAUCUUAGGUUUCCUUUGCUACUACGACUAGUUUAUCUUUUCUUGUCUCCUCUUUUUAAAGUAAAAAAGCACUUGAGGGCCAAAUUUUUAGUCUUCUAGUAGAAUAUGCUUAUUAUAACAAGAAUUGAAGACCACAUUCCGUGUGCCAGUAUUUUAAUGUAAAGCAUUUGGCAUCUGUCAGCAUAAUAUCCUGCCUUUAUCACCUCAUUGAAUUUGCUAGAGGAAUGCUGAUAGUAAUUUGCACAGCAUCAUUUAAUCUCCUUUGUCAAAUUAUGAAGUUGUUAUUGAUUUCAAGCUGCUGGUUAGCGUCUUUGCAUCUUAUUGUUUUUCCUAGGGAUUUUCAUGCUAUGUUACUUUUUGCUGGAGCUGUCAAUUAGGAAUAGAUGUCUUGAACAGUAGGGAACAAAUACAUUCUCUUUAGAGCUCACAAUCUGCACUGUUUUUCAAAUAGAAAGUUGUCUUAACAUAGGGUGUAAUAGUGGUUAUAACCAGAACUACUUAGUAAAGUAAAACAUGCAGAAUUAUCUCAAGUUGUUCAUAAAAAGGUAAAGGACCCCUGACAGUUAAGUCCAGUUGCGAACGACUCUGGGGUUGUGGCGCUCAUGUUGCUUUACUGGCCGAGGGAGCUGGCGUUUGUCCACAGACAGUUUUUCCAGGUCAUGUGGCCAGCAUGACUUAGCUGCUUCUGGCGAAAGCAGAGCAGCGCACGGAAACGCCAUUUACCUUCCCACCUAUUUAUCUACUUGCACUUUGACGUGCUUUCGAACUGCUAGGUUGGCAGGAGCUGGGACUGAGCAACAGGAGCUCACCCUGUCGCGGGGAUUUGAGCCCCCAACCUUCCUAUCGGCAAGUCGUAGGCUCAGUGGUUUAGACCACAGCACCUCUCUCAAGUUGUUCAUACCUUUGGGUAAAACGGCUGGUGUGGAGAAAAUGACUUAUUUCAAGGACAGCAUCUCUGUUGCAUUUGCAAUUUUGCCUUUUAGGUUUAGGACAGUGGUUUUCAACCAGUGUGCCAUGGCACCCUGGGGUGUUUUGAAUGAUGGUCAGGGGUGCUGCGGACAACAGUGGCCUCUGUCCUCCUUUCCUUCCCUCCCUUCUCUGAUGCCCUCUUGCAUCUUUACCUCCCAAAGGCUUGUGUGGCUGUUGGUUGCACCAGCCCUGGCUACAAGCUUCACAGGCAAAUGGCGCCUCUGGGGCUGGCCAGGGGGCAAGGAGUAAGCAAGCAGGCAGGCGAGGAAUCCCAGCCAGUCAGUCCGCUAGCUCUUACUGUCGGGAAUAGACAGACAAGUCCCAGGCCCCUGGGAGGAGUGUGAGGAGGCAUCUUUCUUUGGGGGCAGGGGGGCAGCUCAGAAACUAGGGGCAGCAGCAGUGGCUGCCCGGAGGACUCCCAAGGAGCGGGGAGAGGAGAGAGAGGAGAUUGAGGGAACACUCCACAAGGGAAGGUGUUCAAAAAAGGGUGAGAGGCUGCCAGCACUGCAGGCAAGGGGUGACAUAACUGGGCUCCUGAACCCCACAGGGAUGCCGCAGAAAGAAUGUAGUUGGUCAAGGGAGCCGUGGACUAAAAAUGGUUGAAAACCUCUGGUUUAAGGCAGUAUCAUAUUUUAUUUUAAUUGCAUACAUGCAUGUGUAAAUGACUUGUACUAAUGUUAUGCUCUUUGGCUUUGUAUUCCACAAAGCUCUCUUACUUGAAAAACACUAGUCAUACAAUGUAAGAGUAAAAUAAUGAAGGCUAAUUGCUUACAAUCUUGGAGUUGGACCCCAGGAACUUUGUGUUUAUUGAAGUUUGGUGAAAAGAUCUUUGAACUAAUUUUUAUCAAAUCCACAAUGUAUAAUUUGACAAAGAAGGUAUUAGAUGAUUAAUUAUGGCCUCAUUUUUUAGGCCCUAAGAUUAUAGCUGAUGCGGACUUCACAUGUCUAAUCCCUCACCCAGGCUUAAGGAAUUGGAAAUAGAUCACAGGAUCGUCUGCAUCUUCUUACCAUCUCAGGUGUGAAUUUCCACAGUUCAAUCAGGUCCUGCUUACCAAACACAAUAUGUUCUCUGGAAACUGUUUGUUAGGCAAGCAUUGCAUAACAAGUCCACAAUUUCCAUUAUUUCCUAUGGAAAUGUUUCUCAUGUGGCAUUUGUCAUACUGCUUUCACUGUUUUUUUCAAUGGUUUAUUCAGCAAAAGAGAGACACAUGAAAAAAACCUGAUUUGUUCGAUCUCUCCUGCACCCUGAUUCAUCCGAUCUUGCUCCCACAUCCCUCUCCUUCAUUUCUGCCUGAAAAUGGCUGCUGCUGACCAGCAAAGCAUAAACAAACAAGGAAGUAAGGAAGUUGGAUUUUUAGAUACGUCAAUCUGCAGAGUAUAUAGGGGGUUUGGAGAUAAUUCUUAUGCUUAUGCUGGUAAUAUUUACUGGAAUUCUGAAACUUCAUUGGCCUGAAACUAUAGAUCAAAAAGUUUGAAUGGAAUGUCAUACAAAAUAUUCUGACCUUUUGAAAUCUGAAUUAUAUAAAAACUGCAUUCUCCAGCUCUUGUAACUGAAACCUCACGUUCUUUGAAACACUGCUCUCCUCCAUUUCCUAUGGUCAGCAGAGGGGUGAUGACACACCCUAUGUCAUCUCAUUUAGCUAUUUAUUAAAAGAUCCCCUUUCCUAGUUUAUGACCAAGUGCUAAUCUAAGUCUUCAGGGAUAUGACUCCAUGCAUAUUAUUUGAUCUGUUCAUUUUUGUUGGGCAUAAUGGGCAAAAAAGAACCAAUCAGUGUGGGCCUACUGAGUUGAGUAGUAAGACUUUUCUCUUCUUUUUAUUUAACAGGUAGAUAAUGUUCUGUUAAACCGAUGUUGAAAUUUGCACUACUUAGAUAAAAUUAUAGGUUCGUUAGCAAAGGGUAUAUUUAAUAUUUUGGGUUCUCUGUAGACAUUCAGGAAGCUUAUACAAUACAAAUCUGUUGCUUGAGAUGCGUACAUACUCCUUUUUUAAAAAAAGAUACAAAAAUUCAAAAUAUGUCCUCCCCACCCGCCCCAGAUCUUAAUAAAGUUAUUUUAAAGUCUGUAUGCCAGACUAAAUGUUAUGCUGCCUAGGCUGACAUUCCCAUUUCUUUGUGAGGAAACAAAGGUGUAGGAAUUUUACAAGUGCUUUUGCUUAUUCUUGCUUUUAAACUAUCAAAUGUUGGAAUCUUUCUCAGUAAAUGAGAUCACCCACUGAGUUGAGAAGGUGAGGAGCACUUUUCAUGCUUUACAAUCGUGUCCUGAAUUUCUGCUUAAUUUGACUGUUGUAUGAUUAUUGUUUGUAAAAAUUGGCUUCUCUGCAUUUUAACAGCUUUCGGAAUGUUCUUGUUUUGGGAAACCUGGAGAGGCUUAAAGUAUGCCUUGGCAUGUCAGUGUUUCUGCCUAAGGGAAACAUUGCCCUCCAAUAGAUAACAUUGUCUUCAGCUCAUAAAGUAGCAUUUUACCAUUAGCCACCAGGUGAUUCUCAAAUGUCAGUUAAAAGUGCAUGAUCAUUCCCAGAUUUUAGUGGGAGGCUGCAGCUACCAUCCUGUUGCAGAAGGAAAGAAAUGUUGACCUUUCUUAACUUUUACCUUCAUGCCAUCAAAUGUUUGUGCUUUAAUUAGUGGGGCCCCUGAAAAUACAAGACCUUUGGACUUGCAGUAUAUCUAGCAGAAAUGAAUGAGAACAAAAGCUACUGAAAAUGCUGCUAGGAAGUCUUGAUGUUAAUUUUGAGUCUGAUUUUCCCCAUUGACAAUAAAUGUAAGAAAUUGAGAGUUUGAUCUGAGCUUCUGUUGUUACAGAUUCAGGGUCACAAAUCCAGGUAAUAAUUGACCUUGAAAGAAUUAAUGUGCCACUCGUGAAGGUACGGUUUAAACCAUGCAAAGGCUUAGCAAGAAAGCUUUCUAUAAUUUGGGGCUGUAAAUUGAACAAAUGGUUAAUGUCAGGAAAUACUUGGUUUUGAGGUUGUGUUUUCAGGACUGAGACGUUAGUACGCACCAUCGUAUUCCUGAUUAAAUCUGUGUAAUAAAUUAAAUGGGUGUGUUAAAGGUACCCCUGCCCGUACGGGCCAGUCGUGUCCGACUCUAGGGUUGUGCGCCCAUCUCACUUAAGAGGCCGGGGUCCAGCGCUGUCUGGAGACACUUCCGGGUCACGUGGCCAGCGUGACGAAGCUGCUCUGGCGAGCCAGCACCAGCGCAGCACACGGAAACGCCGUUUACCUUCCCGCUAUAAAGCGGUACCUAUUUAUCUACUUGCACUUAGGGGUGCUUUCGAACUGCUAGGUGGGCAGGAGCUGGGACCGAACGAUGGGAGCUCACCCCGCCAUGGGGAUUCGAACCGCUAACCAUGCGAUUGGCAAAUCCUAGGCGCUGAGGUUUUACCCACAGCGCCACCCGCGUUCCGUUAAAAAUGGGUGUGUUACUGUUCUGCAAAUCCUGUCUAUUUUGAAUAUAGGUAGAAGACAAGGUUGCAUUACCUGUGAGGUACAAUAUAUUGAUUUCCGUGCAACAUUGAACUAUAUUUUACUUUAUUGUGAAGGAGCAACAUGCUGGUACACAUUGCCAGAAAAGUCCUGAGUUGCUCCUACCUCUCUUAGUUUGUUUGAGGGAAACAAAUAAUGAGCCCUGCUUUGCACAUAACAUGAAGCCAGCCUCUGGUUUGUUCCCCUUGUGGUGUGGCAGUAGCAAGGGGGAGAAGUGGUUCAGGAACUUCUGAGCAGUGUGUACCAGCACAUCACUUCUUCACACUGAACCAUAAUUUAUAAUAAAACAGCUUUUGCCAACUUGGGGGUCCCUUCCAAAUCUAUGAUUCUGUGAACCUCGUUCCCAGAUGUUUUGGACUACUAUUGUGUUGGCUGCUGCUGAUUUGAAUUGUAGUUCAAAUCUUCUGAUGGGCAGCAGGUUUCCUCCACGUUGUCCUCAUUUUUGCACAAGGUGAAGACCUUUUUGUUACCAAGGAAUGUAAUCAAGCUCCUUGCUGACACUGCUGUUUUGUUAAUGUUGUUGUCUCUUAUUGUUGUGCCGUAUUGUUACCUGCCCUGCACUGCCAUUGAGAGGAAGAAUGGGAUAUAAGUAUGAAUAAAUAAUAAAACAGAACUGCAGGUCUUUCAGGUUUGGGAAGUUUGAGGUUGUAUCUAUUGUAGCACUUAAGUCAUCAUUCUGUGUCCUAGGCAAACCCAUGGACUCCAGGAAAAACAAAUCAUUGCCCCGAAGCUGCUUUCAAUUCCAGUAGUGUUUGCUCAAAUGAGCCCUGUUGGCACAAAUUAGUUAGGCUAGUUUCCAAGUUGUGCUUCUCUAAUUCUCUCCCCACCUAUAAUCCUAGCAUUUUGGAGGCAUCUCAGAAAGAAUGUGGCAUCUUUUAGCCAUAAAGAACACUCUUAUUACAGUUUGUUUGGCAGACAUGCACCAGUUAUGCAUAGGGGACUGAAGCAGACAUUCUUAGUAUCAUCCUGUGGACUUGAAAGCAUAUACUGUUGUGAUGGGAUGAUGAGCUGCUUGUGCGUAAAAUCGUAUCCCCUCAGAGUUUGUUCAAGUCCACAAACCUCUGUCUGUGACGGAGCCCCUCAGACAUGGCUACUCUAGUCACUAGCAGAUUCCGACAGUGGUUGCUUUCGUAAUCGCUUCCAACAUAAAAGCUCCUUAACGGAAACACGUCUUCUGGAAUCUCUGCGUGACAGUUUCCGGCGAGGAGUGGGUGUUCUUACAGGAGGUCCUGAAACCUCCCCACUGUUUUCGCUGGAAGUGUCUCUGAGCCAUCCCUCCAGCUCAGCUCCUCUCCCCUGCUGGUUCCCUCUUCAGCUGCUGCGUCUCUCCCAACCUGUGUGAGCCCUUUCACCUCCCUGUUGGUUCCCUCUUCAGCUGCUGCGUCUCUCCCAACCUGUGUGAGCCCUUUCACCUCCCUUCCGUCCGAUGGCAGUUCCCUGACAUCCACCUCCCCUCCAGGGCCCCCUUCACCCCCUCUCGCCCCCCCCUCUACGGGCGGUGAGGAGGCAAAACCCCGGAAUGAACUUCCUUCAUCUUCCGAUGUCUCGAACACUUCUCUCAACCUGUUGCGGUUCCUGGUCUCGAAGUACACCUCCUCCUCAGAGUCCAUCUCCCCUUCCCCUUCCGAGUCCGGGAAUCCUUCCAACUCCUCCCCUUCAUCAGUGGUCCCAAAGUAUUCCCUCCGGAACCUCUCCACAGGCUGAGGUUUCCUUGGGAACCUUUGAUGGAACGUUUCUAUCAAUACCUCGUCAUUGAUAUCUUCAGCCAUUACCCAAGUGUUUUCUGACUCCGGUUCUCCUUCCCACGCUACCAAAUACUCCACCUGAUCCCCCUUCCACCUGGCGUCAAGGAUUUCUGCCACAUGGCUGCUGCAUUCUCUUUCUUCUACGACCGGUCCCCGAGUGGCCAGCCCUUCUCGUCCCCCCUUCGUACGGUGACAGUAACGACCUGUGAAAUACUGGGUGCAGUUUCAUGUGGUUGGGUAACCGGAGCCUGAAAGCCACUGGGUUGACCUGUUGAAUGACCUCAAAGGGACCCAACCUCCUGGGUCUUAAUUUCUUACAACCUCCUUUGAACGGCAACCCUUGGGUUGACAGCCACACCCUAUCUCCCACCCUUAUGGUUUCACCUUCCCUUCGGUUCUUGUCUGCCUGCCUCUUGUAUUCUUCCUUCGCCCUUUCUAAGUUGAGUUGGAGCUGACGAUGGAUUGCUUCCAUUUCUUCCACAAAAUGCUCGGCUGCCGGGACGCUCCAUCUCUCCCCUCCCCCUGGGAAAGCCCUGGGAUGACACCCAUAAUUAGCCAAGAAGGGGCUCAUCCCUGUGGACACAUUCUCGGCAUUGUUGUAGGCAAAUUCCGCCAGCGCCAACUUUUCUACCCAGUCAUUCUCUCUGUCAUUGACAUAACACCGCAGGUAUUGCUGGAGGACACCGUUUGCUCUUUCCGCCUGCCCGUUGGUUUCAGGGUGCCGGGCAGUCGAAAAAUUGACCUCCACCUGCAGUAAGCUCAUGAGCUUCCUCCAGAACCUGGAAGUAAAUUGUUUUCCUCGGUCUGAGACCACCCUCAAUGGCACCCCGUGCAACCUAAAAAUGUUUUCUACAAAUAACUUCGCUGUCUCUUCCGCCGUGACUGCAUGCGAGCAAGCUACAAAGUGGCACAUCUUUGUUAGUAGGUCUACCACCACCAUGAUGGCUGUUUUCCUUUGGACUUCGGCAGAUCAGUCAUAAAAUCUAUCGACACUGCCUCCCAAGGUCGUUCUGGGGUUGGUAAGGGUUCUAAUAGCCCCGCCGGCGCCCGCCUUCCCCUUUGGCUCGCUGGCAUUGCUCGCACCCUCUUACAUACUCACGUACAUCUUCCCUCACCUUAGGCCACCAAAAUUCCCUGGUGACCAACCACAUGGUUUUGUGUUGUCCAAAAUGCCCCGCCGUAGGGCUGUCGUGCAACUGCUUGAGUACCCUCCCCUUAACUCUCCUUCAGGGAUAUACAGUGCCCCUUUGUAAUACAAAGCUCCAUUUCUUUCCUCGAAACCCCUGGUUCCUCUCCAUCACCCCUAAGACCUCUGAGCUUAUUCUGGGCGUAUUCAUCAUUCUCUGUUUCCUCUACCAGUUCUCUUUGUCCCACCAAUGCCGCCCCACACACCCAGCGGUCUUCUGGAAUGACAUGUCUCUCUUCGGUGCCCCUCCCCUCCAAAUAUUCAGGUUUGCGUGAGAGAGCGUCCGCCCUAAUGUUCUCUGGGCCUGGCACGUAACUAAUCUCAAAGUUAAAUUUGGAGAACUCCUGGGCCCAUCUCACUUGCCGUUGGUUGAGCACUCGUGCCGUUCUCCAAUACUCUAGGUUCUUGUGGUCAGUGCACACUUGCACCUUAUGUUGUGCGCCAAUUAGCAGGUGCCUCCAUCUCCGGAACGCCUCAUGAAUGGCUAGUAGUUCUCGGUCAUACACCGUGUAGUUCCUCUCGGAUUUGUUCAGCUUUCGCGAGAAAAAGGCACACGGUCUCCACUCUGACCCCUUCUUGCCUGGCUGCAGAAGCACCGCCCCAAUCGCUCUGUCUGAUGCGUCAGUUUCCACUCUCAUCGGUUUUUGUAAAUCCACAUGCAGGAGUUGUUGUUCCGAGGCGAAGGCCCCUUUUAGUUCCUCAAAUGCUCGCUCCGCCUCCUCAGUCCACACGAACUUCUUCUUACUGCUGAGACAGUCCGUAAUGGGCGCCGUCAGGUGGGCAAAGUUUCGGAUGAACUUACGAUAGAAGUUCCCAAAUCCUAGGAACCUCUGCACAUCCUUCUUUGUUUUGGGUGUUUUCCAUUCCAGCACCGCCUGGACCUUGCCGGGAUCCAUGGCCAAUCCCUUGUCUGACAGGCGAUACCCCAGGAAUUCCACCUCCUUGGUAUGAAACUGACACUUCUCCAGUUUCACCCACAGCUGGUUGGCUUGCAGCCUGCUCAACACUUCUCUGACGUCUCUCACAUGCUGCUCCUCAUUCUCAGAAUACACCAACACGUCGUCUAAAAAGGCCACACAAUUCUUGUAAAGCAAAGGCCCCAGGACGUGGUUCAUAAACGAUUGAAAUGUUGCGGAGCCUGCUUGUAGGCCGAAGGGCAUAACCAAAUAUUCAAAUGCCCCUAAAGGGGUGAACAUAGUGGUUUUCCAUUCAUUCCCCUUCCUUAUUCGUACCAGGUUGUACGCCCCCCUUAGGUCCAGCUUUGUGAAAAUCUUUCCCUUCCGCACCCUUGUCAAAAUGUCGUCAAUCCUGGGCAUAGGGAAGGCUACUGGUUCUGACACUGCAUUUAAGGCCCUGAAGUCACACACCAGCCUCGGCUUGUUCGUGUUUUUCUUAUCCACAAAAACACUGGGCUGCCCCCACCGCCCUGGACUCUCUGAUGAACCCUCUCUUCAGGUUCUUGUCAAUGAACUCUCUUAACUCCUGCAUCUCUCUGUCUGACAUGGCGUACAGCUUGCCUACAGGGAGCUGUGCUCCAGGGAGUAAGUUGAUUUGACAAUCAAAGGGUCUACUGCGGGGUAGUUGGUCAGCUUCCCUUUCGCUGAAGACGUCACGGAGAUCUGCAUAUUGUCGUGGUACCUUCACGUUCUCUGUUACUUCAGUCCCUGCUAGGGUGGCUUGGACCCCUGCCAAACCCUUUCCCUCCUUGCAGUGUUCUAAGCAAUGUGCUGAACCAAAAGAAACCACUCUCUGAUGCCAGCCCACCAGCGGAUCAUGUAACGCUAGCCAGCUCAUCCCCAAUAUAAUGGGAGCUCCUCCCAAGGUGGCCACAUUAAAAGCUAUCAGUUCGGUGUGCCUUGCUACCUUCAUUAUCAUUGGGACGGUCUGCAAGCUGACUUCUCCACCCAACAGCUCCCUGCCAUCGAUCGUGGUCACCUGCAGGGGGCUGCUUAAAGGGAUUGUCUGUAUCUGGUGUUCAGCUGCAAACUCCUUGCUCAUGAAAUUGCAGGAGCUGCCUGAGUCCAACAGCGCCUUUAUCUUUAGAGGGUGUCCGUUUGGCAGCUCUAGCGUCACUUCUAUCACUAGGGCGGGUUUAGGAGGUUCUGGCGUGGGCACUCUCACUGCUCUUUGGCCUGGCUGCUGUGCCCUGACAGUGGCAGCCAGGCGUUGGCUGUUACUUGCUCCGGUAUAUUUUCCUCUCUUCCAUCCACAGCUCCUACCAUCCCUUGCCAUUCUUUCCUCUGGGGGCAGACUCUGGCAAAGUGACCUGGCUGUUGGCAGAGAUAGCAUUUCCGGGCGCCUUUUCCCUCCUUCUUUGCCCCCUCACUGGGCUUUGAAACUGCGCGCGCGCGCUGUUCCGAUUUCCAUCGGCUCUGCCGGUGGGAAAGUUGGCUCUGGAAUGUCUGGAAUGCGGAACUCCUUCCAACGUUCCCCUUUCCCUUCCCGCCUCUCCAAUGCUCUCGCCUCCUGGCGCGCUCCUAUGGCCAGCGCUGAUUUGGUCAGCUGGUCCAUAGACUCCGCCCUGGGCGCCCGGGAAAGUUCGUCUUUCACAGCCGAAGAAAGCCCUUCUUCAAAGAGCAUUUGAAUGGGUUCCGCCGAUAAGUCCCACCCCAAUCUGUGAACAAGCAUGGUGAACUCAGUCCAGUACUCACGGACAGAUCGGCUCCCUGUUUGCAACCCAUUAACUGUCUGCGCACCACUCCCUUUUCAAUAUCGCUGGAAAACAUCAGAUCCAUGGCGCGAAAGAACUUCAUCGUGUCCUUUAAGACGUCACUAUUCGCUGCCAUCAGGGGUCUAACCCAGUCUCUCGCCCCCUUUUCAAGAUGCUCAAUCACGAAAGCCACUCGUGAUUCCUCGUCAGGGAAUUCAUCAAACUGCAGAUUGAGUGCAUAUUGCAUUUCAGUCCGAAAGCCAUGAUAGUUUUUGGGCUCCCCCCCAAACUUCUGCACCAAUCCUGGUACCUUUCUGGCGAACUGGGUGGCUUUCCCCCUUUUGUCUGCAUCCUGAGCCCUCCUCUCCUCAAGCCUCGCCGUCUGCAUCGCUAGCUGGACCUCCAACAUCUGGUACCUUUCUUCCAGGCUUGGACCCGCUCCAGCUCCUGCUUCUCCGGUUCCGGCUGGGUUGCUCAUGAUGCCUUCUCCUGCACAAGCUGCUUUCAAAGACUGUCGGAAUGCUGUGAUGGGAUGAUGAGCUGCUUGUGCGUAAAAUCGUAUCCCCUCAGAGUUUGUUCAAGUCCACAAACCUCUGUCUGUGACGGAGCCCCUCAGACAUGGCUACUCUAGUCACUAGCAGAUUCCGACAGUGGUUGCUUUCGUAAUCGCUUCCAACAUAAAAGCUCCUUAACGGAAACACGUCUUCUGGAAUCUCUGCGUGACAGUUUCCGGCGAGGAGUGGGUGUUCUUACAGGAGGUCCUGAAACCUCCCCACUGUUUUCGCUGGAAGUGUCUCUGAGCCAUCCCUCCAGCUCAGCUCCUCUCCCCUACUGGUUCCCUCUUCAGCUGCUGCGUCUCUCCCAACCUGUGUGAGCCCUUUCACCUCCCUGUUGGUUCCCUCUUCAGCUGCUGCGUCUCUCCCAACCUGUGUGAGCCCUUUCACCUCCCUUCCGUCCGAUGGCAGUUCCCUGACAACUGUGAUUUUAGGGAAGCUUUUCAGUGUUUACUGAGAUUAUGAUUAUCCAUUUUUGUGUUCUGUAGGGUACCACCUGAAUGGGUCUGAUCAGUGUGAAAAGGACCUACAACUUCAGCUUGCAAAGGAGCUGUGAGGAGGUUUGCUGCAGUCAGGUGGGUAUAAGUGUGCAUCAUAUUGUGUAUACAGAGUGGGUACAACUGCAUUUUUUUUUGUUAAUUGCAAAUCUAUCAUUUCAGUUGACUUUAAAAAGUUGCAGUUGAUGAAAAAAUUAUCUGGCAAAUUGUGAAUGUGUAAAAAUGGAUUUGGAAGGGAAGGAUUGUUCUUGCAUUUUGUUUGUAAUAUAAUUUGUAUCCUAUUGAAAAUUCGUAAAAUGUUCCAAGGAGUUGAUAUUGUCCACUUCUGUCAAGUUUAAACAAACCAACAUUCACUAUUGAAAUAUGUAGAUUGUCCAAUCUAACAUUUUGAAGUCGAUACCAUUAAUUAAAUUAGUAUUUUUAGUACUAACAAUAAUGGACUCCCCCAAUAAUUGCAUUUAAUAUUUACUUAUAUCCAGAUCAGUCCCUGGCCCCCUCAGGUAGAAUGCAUCUCUACUUUAACUGUCAAAAUACAAGAGAAUAAUGUUCUGCAUUUUAUUGUUACUAGUUUUUUCUGCAUAUCUAGAGCAGUCUUUCUCAACCUUGGGCCCCGGAUAUUGUAGGACUACAACUCCUGUCAUCCCUAGCUAGCAGACCAGUGGUCAGGAAUGAUGGGAGUGGUAGCCUAACAACAUCUGGGGAGCCAAAGUUGAGAAAGGCUGACUUAGAGGAUCCUCAUAAAAAUGUAGUGUUCUGCAUCUAAAGUGUCACUUCUGUGAAUAAAAAAGGGGUGGAGAGCCAAUGGAUGUUCUCAGUUAAGGACGGAAAGGAAUAGAUUUUCGCCACCUAUCAUGCUAUUCCAGAGGAUUUCCCAAACACCCCAAGAAAGUCUUCAAGAUACUGCAGUAGGAAAGCAGUGUUGUCAGAAAUUCGCUCCUCCUAUUUCCAGUAAAAGCAUCCAGUAAAUAGAGUUGUGGAGAUAAAAGUGGGAAGAAGAACACAAUGUACACAGCUUUGAAUUCCUGGGAGAAAAGUCACAAGACAAAUCUAGAACAAUAAGCAACAAAUGCAUGCAGUUUCACAACUCUCAGCAAAAUGUAUACACACAGAACAUUUUGCUAAUCUUGAUAAACAAAAAAUAUCCUACAGUCUACAGGAAUUUAAACUCGAUGCAGCUACAAGGUGCUUAGUUUUUUAUGGUUGUAUCUGCUGAUUCAUUUUGUAUGUUAUGGUUUUGUUUUAUGGUUAGUGUUUAUUAAUAAAUAACAGCAUAGUGAGGACAAGCAGACCUGUAGUGGUUUUGUGGGGGGGGGGGUAUGGAAAAUCAGGGCAGGGGGACUGCCAUGUUGCCAUUUUUUCCUCAGUAGAAAGGCAACCCAAUUUAUUUUACCUCUGAGUAAAGCAUACCAAAGUCAGCCAACUGUGCUUUAUUCUAUAAAGGCAGCUCCCUUAGGGAGUGAAUGAAAUAAUGUGUAUGUGAGAAAAAUGUUUAAAUAAACAUGUCCUAGUAUCCUUCUCCAUCCAGCUUCCCCAACCUUUUCUGCUGCUCUGCAAGGGCCCCCUCCUGAGUCCCAGCUGGGGUUGUCAACAUUCCUUCCUCUGCUUAGCAACAGUGAUAAAGCACCCUUAUCAACUGUGCUGCCUGCAAGUGCCAAAACCUUACCAGUUGUCUCCAUCAGGGUAGAUUUGAUUUCAAUCACGAUUUAAACCACUAGUCAGUAAGGCUUGAUUUAAAUCACUAGUCAGUUAGACUUGCUUUAAAUCAUUUAUUUUUUUUUACAGAAAGUCUCAUUCUUGCUGGUAUAAUCUUAAUAUGUACAACCAGAGGAAGGCUUCAUUUUUGGAAUAAUAAUUUUUCAGAGUAGUUUUUAAGGUUAUCUAAAAAAUGACUGAUUUGUUUAUACUAUUAGAAAUACAUAGACAGAUAAUUAUGAAAUUAUUGUGAGGUUUAAUAAGUUAACUGUUUAUAUUUGGACAACUUUUCUGCUGUACUUUAUUGGAAGGAGAAAAAUAAUCAUUUCCCUAACAACCACUUAAACAAUUUAUUUAACCAAAGCAAUAACAUUAUAGCAUAUGUAGCCAUGUUUGUUAACUGUUGUGGUUAAACAUUUUAAACAAAAAAACUUAGACUGAGUUUUAGCGCACAUGAAAAACUUAAAACAAAUCCUUAUUUCCUGAUGAAUAGCCUUUGGACUAGAAUGUAACUUAAAUAGAAGACUAUUUUUAGAAAGAUUUUUCAUCCAGAAGCAUUUUAUUUUAAAAAUCCAAUUUAAAUUUUUUUAAAAAUCUGAUUUAAAUAAAAAAACUGAUUUUUAUUUUUUAAAAAAAUUAAUUGAUUUUUAUCCACCCUGGUCUCCAUAUUUUGUUUCAUACCUUUCUUUAGAAAUGACCAAUUGACUUACCUUUUUUUAAAAAAGUGAAAGCUAAGAGGCUGGAACUGCUGCUAGCAUUGGGCCCAGUACAUGAAUAGCCCCUGAACAUCCCUCUUGGUGGCCCUGCUCCUUCUCUUCCUAGAUUUAAAAAUAUGUUGUGGUGUUGGUACCAGUUUUCCCAGCCUGUUGCAAACUGUGAUUGCUUGCACCUGAGACUUGCUCACUUAGCGAAUUGCUGGGAAAAAACCCCAAAGACUUGUGGGCUACUGUUACUGAGCUCAUUUAGAAGAAAGAGAGAUUGGGGUGGAGGGGGGUGGGCAGCAGAAACAGCAAAGAGAGUCUGAACGAAGGAAAAGAUGAGAAUGGAUGGGACACUCAGAGAUUUGAGUGAAAAUGUGGGAUUGCAGCAUUUGGGGAGAUCUUUGGCUGUUCAAGGAGAGAAGAGAGAGCAUACUAUGGCACAUGCAGAGAAAAUGAAAACAUUGAGUUAAAAUUAUAGUAAAAAUGCUGUUGAUGUAGUGAUGCAAUAUGGACAUCAAAGUGGCCCAGUGUGAACUGAGUUGUGUGUCUCUUAUGGAUGAUUGUUCUGCUGCUUCAGAAUAUAAGAGGGAGAUGUUAGGGAAAUAAUUCCAAACUGAUAUAGGGAGAAUGCUUUGGAGGGCUAUCUUCCUAUAGCUGGAUAGUGACCUCAUUAAGCAAAAUGUAAGAACUUUCUUUCCAAGCAUAUCUUGAAAAUAUUCCAGGAAUGCCGUAUUUCAACUGGUAUUCUGUAGCUGGGCCAAUUGGAAAUGUGGUUUUAUUUCAUUAAGUUGCUGAGGAUAGUUUGUAGCAUCCUU
rnacentral:lncRNA from 1 species